GCUGCACCAACGUUUCCACAUUGUGGGGGCUUGUUCUCUCCUCGUCCAGGGAGGCGAUGACUGGGCGUGCGAUCCUGGGACUCUCUCGUCUUGUAUCUUGGAGCUACGAGUCUGCCGUAAAUAGAAACAGCAAUGUGAGUCGGCACGGUUUAGGAAAGCUACAACCGGACAGUUGGAUUCUAAUACGAAUGCAUUUGCUGAGCAGUCAGUCAAGAGGCUGCUAAUCAAGAAGCUAGGGAUAGAGUCUAACCAACUAUCGGUCACAUUAAGCGUACAAGCACACUUAGCACAAAGAUGUGCAGGAACCGGGAUUAGUAUACGGAUUAUAUAACAGUUCAAAUCUUCAAAUAAUAAAAUACAACUAAAUACGGAGUAGUAUUUUCCAUGCUAGGGAGUACAUAGGAAUUGGAGCGACGGGAAUGUAAACGAUGGCGUUGGUCAUUUCAACAAACACCUUGCUUGCGCUUCCUCCUCAUCACCGGCGGACUUCGCGUUACUUCUCCUCUUCUUCCUCCUCCUCGUCGUCGUCGUCCACGUUGGAUCCGGCGCCCAGGUCCAACGUGAACCCCUCCCACCCCUCCCCAUCGGUGCCGUCCUCCUCGCCGUCCGCGGCGGCCGGCUCGGGGUCCUUCUCGACGUAUCCAUAGGCGUCGGCCUCGCCGUCGGAGGUGGAGUACCCGUCAGGUCUAGUGGGCGGCAUCCGCCGCGCCAUGCGCGCGUAGCCCCGGCCGUCGGCGGCGCGGAGGCGGGCCUCCGGCUCCGGGCGGCGUCGGACCAGUAUUGCCGCGGCCGCCACUGGCCGACGAGGGAUCCAGGCCGCGCGCCCGCGCAGCAUGGAGGCCGCGCGUCGGAGCAUGCCGUGCCGUGCCGUGCCGCGUCUGUGCCGUGCCGUGCCAAAGCGUGGGAACCGGAUGAGCGCCGGAAGAAGAAGAAGAUGCGGCAGAAUUGUUUCUCCUCGUCGCCGGGGACGCCGGACGCUUUUUUCUUUACUUCAAGGGAUACCGGACGUUUCUGGACCUCACGCAAGCGAAGGCCCACUAGGCCCACAAGACUUGAGAUUGAAUCCUUAUCCCUUCAUAUUCUUUUUAGUAGGUGGAAAAAAUAUGCAGAACAAAGUUUAGCUACAUGAUUUUUUUAAAUGUACAUGGCAGACUUAUACAUUUUUGACCUUGUCACAUGGUACCACUGAACAUUUUUUUAGUAAUUCUCACAUAUCAAGUUAUUCUGUACAUGUGAUUUUUUUAGAUUUUUUUCUCCUGGCCCCAUGGAAAAUUCUUAAUAUGUUUUGUCUUACAAACAUGGUAAUUUUAGGGUUUUUUGUAAUGCUUCCAUGUCAAGCUUUGGGAAGUUUUAUUAUUUUAUGCAAUGCAUUUUUGGAAAAUAUUUUUAUACUUUCGCACAUGUCAAUUUUUUUAUAAUAAAAUGGAAAUUUAUUUAUUUAUAGCAUGAAAAAUUAUUUUAAUUAACAUGAGCAUUUUAUUAUUAAGAUCAUGCCAAUUUUAUUUUUAAUAACAUGGCAGUUUUAUUAAUGUCAUGUCAUAUAUAUUUUUAUCAUGGCAAUUUACUGUGUGUGAUUUUUAUGUUUUUCAAAACGAAAAUUUAAAGCAUGGGAAAUUCCUUGUACUUAUUUUUAGUUAAUAUGUGAAUUUGCCAUGUACGAUAUUCUUUGUCUGCAUUUUGGACAAUGGUACUGUCUUUGCUGGUUUCUUCCAUUUUAGGCAUUUUGGAUAAUGGUCUUUUUUUUCAUUUAGGUAUUUAUUUGGCAUGAUACCAUGGCAAUUUCCAAUAGCUGUUUUAUAGUGUAUUAUGUCAAUUUUCUAUAGUAAAAAUGAUCAAGGCAGUGCAAAGAACACCAAAAAUUAAAUAAUCACGUCUAGAUCUGUUCAUGAUGUUUCAUACAUGCAAAAGUUAUUGAUGUGAAUGGGUUGCAUACGCUCGAUGAUAUGGCCUCACGUUAAAAAAACAGCAUUUGCUUGCGAUUGUUUAACAAAGUGGUGCAUGGGUUAUUUAUUUGGAAAACGUUAUCAUUCAACCGGCGCAUGUUUGUGUAUGCGUCCACCUCCUCCGUAACCGUCGGAUUUGAUUUCGAUCACGUCGUACGUUCAUGUCCGCUUCAAGUUUCUGCAACAACAUCAUUGUUGCGGAACAAUGGCAAAAAAGACGAAUGUGUUAGUAGUGCGCGCGGCCAGAUGUUGUUUUAUUUGUAAUAAGGAUUUUGUCACAGAAAAUUAGACGCACUGGGAGAUGUGUUUGCAGUGCUUGCAACAAGUGUUUUGUUGCAGAAAAUAAAAAAAAAUUGCAACAAAGGACUUGUUGCAGGAAAUUAAAGAAGAGAGAGUUUCGCAACAAUGAUGUUGUUGCGGGAAAUUAGAGAAAAGAAGGUUCCGCAACAAAAGUAUUAUUGUAGAAAAUUAGAGAAGAGGACCUGAUACCUCACGUCACACAGAAUCGAACGGCUUGCGAGACGACGGAUCUUUUUAAAAGAUUAGAAAGAUCCAUCGACCGACGCAUAGCAGACCCCUAUUUAUUUAUUUUUGUUGCGAGCUAUUGAAUGAUGUUUGUUGCCGCUGACAUGAAAAAAAUUAAUAUAUGCCACACAAAAGGCCUCGACAUUGCCAUGCCAAUGGCAUAUACGCAAACAAGAAAUAUCUAGGUGGUGGAACGGGUCAGGAGUUCCUGUUCCGAGGCUAUUAAAAUCCUUUUUAGCCUUAGUGGACAAUUUAGGUGCAUAGCAUAGAUGGUAUUCACGGCGAUCUUCUUGGCAUUAUGGAAUAAAUUCCCACUGAGGCCUUAUUUGAUACUAGUGUAUUUUAGAAAAUUUAUGUUGAUUAUUACGAUUAAAUCUCUCAAUCCCCAUAUAUCUCAUAACAUCAUUUAGUUCUAGUGUAUUUGACAUGUUUCAUCCCCACAUUUUUUCUCAAAUCCUUAAAUUAUAGUGCAUUUUUCUCAAUACCCAAUACACUACCCCUACUUAGUGUAUUGGGGAUAAAUGGGGAUUUGAAGGGAUUGGGUGAAGGUUGGGGUUUCACCCAAUCCUUUGGGGGAUUAUCCCCACCAAUCUCCUCAAAAAACAUUAGUAUCAAAUAAGGCCUGAACGGGUUAUUCCUUCUAACCCCACUGGCUAUAUUUUCAAACUUUCUAUUUACUUUUAGCUAUGGCAACCUAUAGUAAGGAAUAAGGAUGGCCAUGAUGUGCUAGGCAAGAUUGAGUACAUUCACAACACUAAUAGAUCAAGUCUUCACCAACCAUGAUAUACCCUAGUAACUAUCUUAUUUAGUAGUGUGUGCUUGAUGUUUAAGCUCUAUACCAUAUCUAGCACUAUGUUUAUUUCAGAUUUAGUUUGUAAGACUAUUUGUAUUCCAUUUUGUGUUUUAUUAAUUUAAAAGCCAACCCAUUUUUGCGCCUUCCUUCUAAAAAAGCUAUCUGAAAAUAGGAAGCCAUGGUGUUCCAACUAUAGAAUUAUUUUCUUCCCGUAAAAAAAAGACUUUAGACUUAUUCUCGGCUCUAUGCGCCAUCGACAUAAUGGUAUUCAGUUUACCUUGUUGGUCUGCACCUCGCUUACUUGUGUCAUUUGUCUUAACUGUUCUAAGAGCAUUUACACGUGGACUCCUCAUAUCCUUCUCAAACAUUUAGAUGAUGGUUGUUGUGUAUCCCUUGCAACGGCGUCAGAAAUAAUUGUGUCGACGGUACCAGGAAUCUUUCAGUUGCGGCUACGCCUUAAGGGACUUCCUAGGCAAGUAUGCAAAGGAUUUCCCCCGUGGCCUUGGAGCCUUGCGUUGGUGUUCCCUCGAAGCGAAAAGGGUGAUGUAGCACAGCGACGGUAAGUAUUUCCCUCAGUUUGAGAACCAAGGUAUCAAUCCGGCGGAAGAGUAUCUCAAGAUCCUGCACAAACACAAAAGCUUGCACCCAACGCUAUUAAGGGGUUGUCAAUCCCUUAUAGAUUGUUUGCCAAGUGAGAACUGAAAGCAACAAAGUAAUAAAGCAAAGUAAAAGCGAAGUUGUAAACGAUGGAUGUGAAUAGACCCGGGGGGCGUAGUGUUUACUAGUGGCUUCUCUCAUGAAAGCAAGUAUACGGUGGGUGAACAAAUUACUGUCGAGCAAUUGAUAGAACUGUGCAGAGUCGUGACGAUAUCUAUGCAAUGAUUAUUUCUAUAGGCAUCACGUCCGAAAUAAGUAGACCGAUACUUUCUGCAUCUACUACUAUUACUCCACACGUCGACCGCUAUCCAGCAUGCAUCUAGUGUAUUAAGUCCAUAAGAACAGAGUAACGCCUUAAGCAAGAUGACAUGAUGUAGAGGGAUAAUCUCAAACCAAUGAUAAAAACCCCAUCUUUUUACCCUUGAUGGCAACUGCUUGUUGUGUGCCUUGCUGCCCCUACUGUCACUGGGAAAGGUCACCACAUGGCAGAACCCAAAACCAAGCACUUCUCCCAUUUCAAGAAUCAUAGAUCUAGUUGGCCAAAUAAAACCCAAGACUCGAAGAGACUUACAAGGAUAUCAACUCAUGCAUAUAAGAAAUCAGCAAAGAUUCAAAUAUAUAUCAUAGGUAAUCUGAUCAGAAGUCCACAAUUCAUCGGAUCUCGACAAACACACCGCCAAAGAAGAUUACGUCGGAUAGAUCUCCAUGAAGAUCAUGGAGAACUUUGUAUUGAAGAUCCAAGAGAGAGAAGAAUCCAUCUAGCUACUAACUACGGACCCGUAGGUCUGAAGUGAACUACUCACGAGUCAUUGGAGGGGCGAUGAUGAUGAUGAAAAAGCCCUCCAGCUCCAAAGUCUCCUCCGGCAGGGUGCCGGGAAGGGUCUCCAGAUGAGAUCUCGCGGAAACGGAAGCUUGCGGCGGCAGAAAAGUAUUUUCGAGGCUCCCCCGAUUUUUUGCGGAAUAUUUGGGAAUUUAUAGGCCAAAGAUCUAGGUCAGGGGGCGGCCAGGGAGGCCACAAGCCUACCCACCGCCGCCUCCCUCUAGUGGCGGAGUGGGGGCUUGUGGGCUCCCUGGAGCCCACCUGGCUUGGCCCAAAAGCCCCCUGGACUUCUUCCGUUCGGGAAAAAAAUCAUUUCGGGGUUUUUCUUCCAUUUGGACUCCGUUCCAAAAUCAGAUCUCAAAAGAGUCAAAAACACGAAAAAAAACAGGAACUGGCACUUGGCACUGAAUUAAUAAGUUAGUCCCAAAAAGAUAUAAAAAGGUACAUAAAACAUACAAAGAAGGCAAGAUAACAGCGUGAAACCAUCAAAAAUUAUAGAUUCUUUUGAGACAUAUCAAGCAUCCCCAAGCUUAACUCCUGCUCGUCCUCGAGUAGGGAAGUGAUAAGAAUGAAUUUUUUAUGCUUUCAUGCUACCUAGCAUAGGUGUCCUUUGUAAUUCCUCUUAUGUGACGUGAAUGUUCAGAUCCAUUAGAUUCAAAACAAUAGUUUGCUAUUGACGUGGAAACAAUAAUAAUUCAAGCAAACUAGCAAAGAAAUCAUGAACUUUCAAAAUAACAAGGCCAAAAGAAAGUUAUCCAUGCAGAAGCAUAUAGUCUGGCUAUGCUCUAUCAUCAUUGCACAACGAGUUUAAAUCAUGCACAACCCCGGUAUUGGCCAAGUAAUUGUUUCACACCUUUACUUUCUCAAACAUUUUCAACUCUCACGCAAUACAUGAGCGUGAGCCAUGGUUAUAGCACUGAUGGGGUUAUAGCCCCAGGGUAGGGUCAUAGGGCUGCCCUAUAGGUCCUACCCAAGGACUACCCUUCACAGAGGACAAGAGCCUUAGACGGUUCCGACUGAACUAAGGACUCCCCCACCAUCCAGUCGGCGACGAGCACUCGGAGCAUAUUUAACAUACCGACUGGAAUCCACUUUGUACAUCGUAACCUCCCAGGAGGGCAACGGUCAUACGUUUCCAUACACCAUUAUUAGCAUUUAAGGCUUACGUUACCUGUAACGUGGGCAUUUACUCGCCACUAUUCCACCCCUGUCCACCGGGCAUUAUGAAGGGCAGCGCACUCUAUAUAAGCCGCCCUUCCCCACUGGUGCAGGGGUUGGCUUUUACUGUAACCCUAUAUUCCACUCGACACUAAGCUCCCAAGAGCACUGAGACGUAGGGCUUUUACCUCCACCGUAGAGGGGCCUGAACUCAUACAUCCUCCCCGUAGCUAAGGCUCUGCCCAUCCUUUCGUACCCCAUACAUCUACUGUCAGACUUAUACCCACGACAUUUGGCGCCCACCGUGGGGCAGGCGUCUAAGCGACUUCCGGUGAGUUUGCGAUUUCAUCUUUUCAUCAUGUCGUCCGGCGGAGAUCUAUGCAUGGGUCAUGAGAUCCUCUUCGGCGCACUCUCCUUCGUCAUCAAUGAUUCUGCAUGGCUUCGGGAUGCACCCCUCGACGUCGAGGUGCUCCCCAGUCGCGGGGCUACGCACUUCCGUGCCGGUUCCCGUGGCAUCCUUCUUCUCCAGCCAUCGGCCCCGGUGUCGAUCCUCGCCCCCGUCACGCGCCGCAACAAGCGAUCCCGUCGCCCCCGGCUCCGGCGUUGGGUGCGACACGCCCAGGCGCGAUAGAGCGCGUCCUCUCAAGUGGCGGUGCUCGAAUCGGUUGUGGUCGCGCCGCCAUCCCAGUGCUUGGACUCAGUUUCGACUGAGCUACCUUCCGAGUACCUGGGUCGCGGGCCUGCAGCCGAAUUUCUCAUGGCCGAUUCCCAUGAAAGUCCCCUCCGGACUGGUCGGAACGAGCAUGAGGUCGGAGAAUCAUCCGGCGCUCGUCGUCAACACCGUCGUUCUGCCAGUCGACGCACUCGCGAGAGCGACGUCAAGGUGUUCCACACACCCAUCCUUAACCUCGCUGCGGCUGCCAGGAUAGCCGAUUCUCUCCAGCUGACUGAUUCGGAGGCUGGCGGAGGGAUCGAGCAGAUCCGUGCCCUGUUGCAUACGGCGCAACAGCAAAAUUCAGCGGUCUCCCAGUCGCACAACAAGAUCCACAACAGUUCUGUUCACGCGAACACGCAUCGGUCGGUUUUCAGCCCCAACUCUCAUCAGCGACGCAGAGGGGGCAGCCGUUCCAGGAAUCCCGAAGAUCAUCGCCGUUCACGCACCCCUCCGCGGGGUGGGCCUUAUGGACCUCGGCAUCACGAUUAUCGUCGUUCAGUCGGCGACGCGCAUGAUCCAAGUCCCGACGCAAGAGGGUACAUUGCCCAGAAGAAGGUCGACAGGAGUCGAGCCCACCGUGAUGGUCACGAUAGAGACCGUCCGAGUGGAAGCAGGACCGUCGUCUCUGGCCCCGAGUGCUUCAGUCGGGCCAUCCAUUCAGCUGACAUCCCUCCCAACUUCCGAUUGGCGACGGGAAUCAGCAAGUUCACAGGAGAGUCCAAGCCAGAAACGUGGUUGGACGACUACAGAGUGGCGGUCCAAAUCGGUGGCGGAGAUGACCAGGUCGCCAUGAAACAUCUCCCCCAGAUGCUCAACGGCUCGCCACGAGCUUGGCUGAACCAGUUGGCUCCGUCAAGCAUCUACAGCUGGGUAGAUCUGUCCCGAAUCUUCAUCAGGACCUUCGAGGGCACGUGCAAACGCCCUGCUGGUCUCGUGGAGCUCCAGCACCGUGUCCAGAAGCAGAACGAGCCCUUGCGUGAUUUCAUCCAGCGCUGGACGACCCUCUACCACACGGUAGAGAACGUCACGGAGCAUCAAGCAGUCUGCGCCUUCAAGGCAGGCGUGCGGUACAGAGAUCUGUACUUGAAGUUCGGUCGGACUGGCAACAUCUCCAUGAGCAAGAUGAUGGAGAUAGCCGCACGCUAUGCAAAUGGCGAAGAGGAGGACCGCAUAAAUAGCGGCAAGCAUAAGACAGUCGCCGAUGGAGAUGGAAAAAACAGUCGGAAGCAGAAGCAGAAGGCUCAAUCCACUCCGCAGGCAGAGGCAGCUGCUGUUACAAACGCCAAGUUCAAAGGCAAGGGGAAAGCUCAGUACACCCCCAAGAAGAAACAGUUCGGGAAUUCCAUCCUGGAUCAGCCAUGUCCAAUCCACACGAAGAUGGACGAAGAAGGCAACGCCAUAUUCCCGAAGCAUACCACUCGGCAGUGUCGCCUCCUGAUCCAAGGGUUCGGUGAAGGUCAGCCGAGUGAAAAGGACACCGAGCAGGAUGAUGAGGACAAGGGGGAUCCGUUCCCCCAAGUCCAUGCAACGCUGAUGAUUUUUGCUGAUGUGGAAAGCAAAAGUCGACUGAAGCUGGUGAACAGGGAGGUGAACAUGGCAACCCCAACCACUCCCACGUUCCUCAAGUGGUCACAGACUGCGAUCACCUUUGAUCAGUCAGACCAUCCAGCACACGUACCCACCCCAGGGAGGCAAGCUCUGGUCGUCGACCCGGUGGUGGAAGGAGUCCGACUGCGCAAAGUCCUCAUGGACGGCGACAGCGGUUUGAACAUCAUGUACGCCGACACUCUCAAGGGAAUGGGCAUUCCGAUGUCCAAACUUAGCGAGAGCAGUAUGCAGUUCCACGGAGUCGUCCUAGGACGAAAGGCCAAGUCACUCGGCCAGAUCGCGUUGGAUGUCGUCUUCGGCUCUGACAAGAACUUCCGCAAGGAGAAGCUAACAUUCGAGGUGGUGGACUUCCAGAGUGCAUACCACGCGAUUCUGGGCCGUCCGGCGUAUGCGCGUUUCAUGGCCCGUCCAUGUUACGUGUAUUUGAAGUUGAAGAUGCCAGGUCCCAAAGGUGUGAUCACGGUCACAGGCAAUCGGCAGCGAGCCGAGGAGUGUUUGCAGCAAGGGUCGAGGAUUGCCGAUCAGCAGAUGGCUAUUCUCGAGCUGGAUGAGUACAAGAAGAUCGCCGACCCCGCUGACCUGAUGCGUUCGAAGAAGCCAGCUUCCGAGUCCGCAUUCCAGUCGGCGGGAGACACGAAGAAAGUCAGCAUCCACCCGACGGACGAUGCCGCUGCCCCGACAAACAUCUCCACCGCCCUUGAUCCAAAAUAGGAAGCCGAGCUCAUCCAAUUCCUCCGUGAGAACUUGGACAUUUUUGCAUGGAAGCCCGCUGACAUGCCAGGUGUACCCAGGGAGUUGGCUGAGCACCGACUGCAUGUGGAUCCUGCUGCUCGGCCCGUCCGAGAACGCCUACGUCGGUCCGCCGCGCACAAGAGGAAGGCAAUCGGAGAGGAGGUGGCUAAACUUUUGGCAGCCAACUUCAUUCACGAGGUUCACCACUCCGAGUGGCUCGUUAAUGUUGUCAUGGUGCCCAAGAAGGACAAGUCUCUCCGUAUGUGCAUCGAUUUCAAACUUCUCAAUAAGGUCUGUCCGAAAGAUCACUUCCCGCUCCCCCGCAUUGAUCAAAUUGUUGAUUCGACUGUGGGUUGCGAGCGUUUAUCCUUCCUUGAUGCCUAUUCGGGCUAUCAUCAGAUCCGUCUGUAUGGUCCGGAUGAAUUUAAAACAGCCUUCAUCACCCCAUUCGGGUGUUUUUGUUACAUCACUAUGCCAUUCGGUUUGAAGAAUGCAGGAGCAACUUUUAUGCGCAUGAUCCAGAAAUGCCUCCUAGACCAGAUCGGUCGAAAUGUGGAGGCAUAUAUGGACAAUAUCGUAGUCAAGUCAUGCAAAGGUUCCGACCUACUGACUGACUUGGCAGAAACAUUCGCCAACCUACGUAGGUAUGAUAUCAAGCUCAACCCAGCCAAGUGUUCAUUCGGUGUUCCCAGCGGGAAGUUACUCGGUUUCUUUGUUUCCGAACGAGGGAUCGAUGUCAACCCCGAAAAGAUCGGGAUCAUCGUCCGAAUGGAGUGGCCGGUAAGAAUACAUGAUGUUCAAAGGCUCACAGGUUGCCUAGUGGCUUUGAGCAGGUUUUUCGCUCGACUCGGCGAGAAGGCGUUACCUCUGUACCGACUCAUGAAGAAAUCAGAUACUUUCGAGUGGAUAGACGAAGCCCAAAUUGCAUUCGACGACCUCAAAGCCCUGCUUUCCACCCAGCCGGUUCUUACUGCCCCGCUCAGUAAAGAACCCCUUCUUCUGUACAUCGCGGCUACAAAUCAAGUUGUCAGCACCGUUCUGACAGUCGAACGCGAAGAAGAAGGCAAAGCGUACAAGGUUCAGCGGCCAGUAUAUUAUGUCUCCAAAGUCCUGACUCCUUCCAAGCAGAGGUAUCCCCAUUAUCAGAAGCUUAUUUAUGGGAUCUACAUGACUGCAAAGAAGGUGGCUCAUUACUUCCAAGACCACUCGGUGUCUGUCAUAUCUGAUGCUCCGUUGUCGGAAAUUCUCCACAAUCGGGAUGCAUCGGGCCGAGUGGCAAAGUGGGCAAUGGAGAUGCUAUACUGCGACAUCAAGUUCGAAGCCAAGAAAGCUAUAAAGUCUCAAGCUCUGGCUGACUUCAUAGCUGAAUGGGUAGAACAACAUCAACCGACUCACAUCUACUCGGCUCAUUGGACCAUGUUCUUCGAUGGGUCCAAGAUGUUGAAUGGCUCCGGCGCCGGCGUAGUGAUCAUAUCGCCAAAAGGUGAUAAACUCAAGUAUGUGUUGCAGAUACAUUUUGAUUCUUCCAACAAUGAGGCAGAGUACGAAGCUCUCCUUUACGGAUUGCGCAUGGCCAUCACACUCGGCGUCCGUCGCCUGAUGGUCUAUGGCGACUCAGAUCUGGUGGUUAAUCAAGUGAUGAAGGAAUGGGACGUAAGGAACCCCACCAUGACUGCAUACUGCAACGCAGUAAGGAAGCUCGAGAAGAAGUUUGAAGGUCUGGAACUUCACCAUGUUCCCCGACUGAAAAACCAAGCAGCUGAUGAAUUGGCAAAACUUGGAUCCACUCGGAGACCAGUCCCGAGUGAUGUCUGCCUCGAGCACCUACAUCUCCCCUCGGUGAAAGAAGAUCCUUUCACAGAGGAACCAGUACAACCGAAGAGUUCAACAGAUCCGACUGAAGUCGAGGUCCCCGCUGUGGUUGAUUUGAUCAUGGGGAUUCUUGCUGUCGUCCCCGAAUGGACUGUGCCGUUCAUUGUGUACAUCCUGAGGCAAGAGUUACCAGAAGACGAAGUCCAAGCUAGGCAGAUCGUCCGCAGGUCGAAGUCCUUCACCGUCAUUGAUGGUCAGUUGUACAAGGAAAGUGUUUCGGGCGUCCUUCAACGGUGUAUCUCCCCUGAGGAGGGACAGUUAAUCUUGGAAGAAAUCCACUCGGGAACCUGCGGUCAUCAUGCCUCCUCAAGGGCAAUCGUCGCCAAAGCAUUCAGAGUUGGUUUCUUCUGGUUGCAGGCAAAUGAAAUGGCGAAAGAUAUGGUCGACCGUUGCGAAGGCUGCCAGUUCUAUUCCAACAAGUCCUAGAAGCCAACGUCUGCGCUAAAGACAAUUCCUCUUGUUUGGCCAUUCGCCGUGUGGGGAUUAGAUACAGUCGGACCAUUCAGAACAGGCCAAGGAGGAUUCACUCAUCUGCUGGUAGCAGUAGACAAGUUUACCAAGUGGAUUGAAGUCAAGGCCAUCAAGAAGCUUGACGCCCUUACGGCCAUCAAAUUUAUCAGAGACAUCAUCACCAGAUUCGGGGUUCCGCACAGCAUAAUCACCGACAAUGGCACAAACUUUGACUCGGACAGAUUCAAAGGUUUUUGCACAGGCCAAGGUAUCCGAGUGGAUUUUGCAUCCGUGGCACACCCCCAAACAAACGGGCAAGCAGAGCGGGCGAAUGGACUUAUUCUUCAAGGGUUGAAGCCUCGAAUCCUGCAAGAAGUUGGACAUGCCGCCGGCGCAUGGGUCACCGAGUUGCCUUCGGUGCUGUGGGGCCUCCGCACAACUCCGAAUAGAUCUACAGGGCGAUCCCCGUUCUUCCUCGUUUAUGGAGCAGAGGCAGUCCUUCUGAGUGACUUGCUUCACAACUCUCCGCGAGUCGAACUCUUCUCCGAAGCCGAAGCAGAGCAAGCGAGGCAAGACGGAGUAGAUCUUCUAGAAGAAGAGCGCGAGAUGGCACUGACUCGCUCAACAAUUUAUCAACAAGAUCUGCGGCGAUUUCACGCGCGGCACGUCAGGAGUCGCACAUUCCAAGCAGGCGACCUGGUGCUCCGAGUGGAUCAGCAGAGACCACACAAGUUGGCUCCCGCCUGGAAAGGACCCUUCAUCAUCUCUAAGGUGCUGAACAACGGAGCAUAUCGACUCUACAACCUCGACAAGGAAACGGACGAGACUCGAGCAUGGAAUGGAGAUCUCCUGAAGCGCUUCUACACAUAACCGCCGACGGGGGCAAUGUAAAGAACAAGUAUCAUUGAAGUAAUACAAAGCAGAUUGAUUUCUUGCCAAUUCCAAAUUCUUUCGCGUUUGCAGACUCCGGUCUAAAAAAUUCACUCCGAGUGCGCACUAAAAGUCGCACUCGGGGACUUAGCUGCGACCCAGAGUCGCCUAAGUAAAAAGUCGCUCCAAGUGCGCACUAAAAGUCGCACUCGGGGACUUAGCUGCGACCCAGAGUCGCCUAAGUAAAAAGUCGCUCCAAGUGCGCACUAAAAGUCGCACUCGGGGACUUAGCUGCGACCCAGAGUCGCCUAAGUAAAAAACUCGCUCCGAGUGCGCACUAAAAGUCACACUCGGGGACUUAGUUGCGACCCAGAGUCGCCUAAGUACAAACUCGCUCCGAGUGUGCGCUAAAAGACACGCUCGGGGACUUAGCUGCGACUCAGAGUCACCUAAGUAAAAAGCUUCCUCCGAGUGUGUACUCGAGAUACACUCGAAGGUUUAGCAGACCCUCAUUGAGGCUCAUGUGGAUGUGAAGACAACUGACAACUACAUGAGUAACAACUCACUCUGAGUGUGCACGAAAAGUCACACUCGGGGACUUAGCUGCGAGUCAGAGUCGCCUAAGUAAAAAGCUUCCUCCGAGUGUGUACUCGAGAUACACUCGAAGGUUUAGCAGACCCUCAUUGAGGCUCAUGUGGAUGUGAAGACAACUGACAACCACAUGAGUAACAACUCGCUCCGAGUGCGCGCUUACAGUCACACUCGGGGACUUAGCCGCGACCCAGAGUCGCCUAAGUAACAACUCGCUCCGAGUGCGCCCUAAUAGUCGCACUGGGAGACUUAGCCGCGACCCAGAGUCGCCUAAGUAAAAGCUCACUUCGAGCGCGCACUCGGAGACUUGGCAGACCCUCAUUGAGGCUCAUGUGGAUGUGAAGACAACUGACAACUACAUGUUGCGCAUGUUUUCCAUUGGCUUCACCAAGAAACGCCAAACAAAAACCACGAGCCAAAAUCGUGUCAGAAAAAAAAACUUAGCGAAAGAGGAGCAAAAUAUCCGAUUCGAAUUCAAAGUUGGAUCGACGAUCAGUCGGCCCGGUGUGAAUCAAGCUUAUCCACACCGAACCACGAAUGUGACGGCCAAUAGCAGUGGCCAAAGUUUAAUACAGAUACCACUCGGCAUACCGAGGUAAAUGUGCGUUCACCAUAAAGUUUUUCAAGCGUCACCAGGACUGGCAGGCUCCACAAAGGUGUCAAGGUCGAUUCCGUCUGCAAUGCGAGUGGCUGUGUCGAGGAAGGUCUCCAUGAAGUCUUCAAAUCUAAGCUUCUUGGUGUUGGCGACCUGCAACGUCUUCGGUUUUUCUUCGCGAGCUUCCUUGCAGUGAACUCGGACCAGAGGUAGCGCCACGUACGCACCACAACAAGCGGCAGACUUCUUCCAUGCCUGCACUCUACUCGGGACGUCCUCCAGCCGAGUCAUCAACCCAUCUAUUUCUUGCCGGGAAUCGUCUUCAAGCCACAGCUCCUUGUCGAUCCGGCCGAUGACUUCUCUCAGCUGGCCAAUGAAAGGUCCCGCCCUGCUAAGGCGAAUAUGCGCUCGGAGCAAGUCCCGGUUGGCUUCGUCACCGAGUGGAACGUUCGGAACAACCGACCGUUCAAUGUCGGCUGCUUCAGCCUCAACGUCCCGACAGAAGUCUGCAAAGAAAAGACAAGCAGAAAAUAAGCGCAGAGUGAACUCCAAAGUCAAGAAGCACUUGACAACUACUUACCACCAAGCAGUGCAACCAUCUUCCUUGCCGAGUCGCUGACGUAAUUCUCCUGCACCAUGCACCGAGUAUUCAUCACCUUCAGCUGGCUCAUCCAUUCGGAUCUCUGACUCUUCAAUUUUUUAACUUCGGCUACCAAUGCCUUGUUGGUCUCCCGAGACUCCUCCAAAGACUUCUCUCGGUCAGCAAGAGCCUCCUUCACACCAGCUAGGUCAUUCACAACCGCCUCCAAGUCUGCAGCAAGCUGAAUCUUCUCAGCCUUCAGAGCAUUGUACGCAGAUCCCAUUUUCCAAGUCUUCUGCCAAAUAGGCACAAAGGGAGGAUCAGACACAUUCAACAAGGAAAAAGUAUCGACACAUAUGACAAAACAAUCAAAGUCCAAAAUUCUUCAGACCCCUGUCGAUGCAAGCAAUCGACAGCGGUCUCGGGGACUACACCCAGUGGGUUCACUAAGAGUGACCCCACUGAUAUGCAGCUCGAACAGGCCGGCCCUAUCGAGCUCCAUAGCGAACAAACAACACUAUGAGACUACUAUUACCUGACCUGAGUAACACUACUCUCGGGGACUACACCCAGUGGGUGCACUCGGAGUGCCCCCACUGGUACCACUCGGGCAGAUCAGCUCUGAUCUGUUUAGAUUACGGAAAAUACAUAUAAAGACAACUGCCGGUGCAAGCACUCGGCAGAAGUCUCGGGGACUACACCCACUGGGUUCACUCAGAGUGAACCCACUACAAAAUCAUCGUACUGUAUCCGAGUAUGUCGCUGAAACCCCCAGCGGGUAACAAGAGGAAAGUAAACACUUACUAGCGCACUUACUCGGAUAUCGUCCCGGAGUUCCAAGCUUUUCUUGUACAAAGACGUGAUGGAGUCAUACGCUCCCUUGGCGUCACCCACCAUCAGCUCCACCUGCACCAUGCCGUCCUUGGCGGCCCCCACCUGGUCUUCCGGGAGGCGUCGGGCAUCAUAUUGAACGGUUGACGGACCCGGCGCGACAGUACACUCCUUGGGCAUCCCGAGCUCUGCUCCAGUCGGUUCCGCCGUGAGGGACACCAUCUCAGUCGGCGACACGUUCAUGGUGGGAGCAGCAGUAGAUGGGACAACCUCAAGGACAGGCGCCAAAGCUGGCUCCGACCCCCUUUGGUCGUCAUCCUCCAGAUGGAUCACCUCCGAAGGAAGCCCGACUGAACAACAUGAAAUUACAGAAAAAGGGCAAGAUCAAAGACAACACUCGCGAAACAAUAGUAAAAACUCUCGGAGUCGUGACAAUGUACUUUGCUGGGACGUGGCGGCAUUAUCUCGUCCAUGGGAUCAUCGUCCUGGCGCGACAGAGAGGUGGCGGAGGUAGCAACUCUGUUGAGUGAAAUCCACUCGACAGAUAAGCAUGAGUUCAAUCAGAUACUGAAGGAAGAUGGAAGAACAAGACACUUACGCUGAGGCGACUAGAACAACAAUCCUCAUCCGAGGCAAAGCUUUCCGAGGCUUAGGCCCGCUAGGUUUGGCCACCUUGGACGACUGGUCCGUGGGCUCGGCAGCAGUGUCCCUGGUCCUCUUCACACUUCGAGCACUCGGAGCCACGGGAGGAGCUGGCGGAGCACUCGGGGCCGCUGGAGGAGCCGGUGGAGCAGCGGGAUCAUGACGGCGCUUAGUUCGGUGCUCUGGUGGUGAAGGUGGCGAGCUCUGCUCCCCCCUCCUCCUCCUCCUCCUCUUCCGUCUCCUCCUCCAUCUCCCCACUGUCGGAGACGUACUCGCCGCUAUCCAUGCUGCCCUCCUGGCUGCCCUCCUCUUCCUCGGCCGGAUUCCCAUUCGAGACAGCAGAAUACCAGUUGGUCCACUCCUACACAAAACACAGUCGGCAACGUCAGCCAGCAGGACAAGAAAAGCAAUAAGUCUAAGAAGAUUAAAAGCACUCGACAAGAUGCGCUUACCUCAUUCGGAGGAGUAUUGUCGGCGCGGAAGGGCUUCACCCGCCGGGCUCCUUCGGGGUUAUCACACGCGCCUGUGAUGCCGCGGACCCACGCCCUCACAGUCUCCCCAGUCACGCACUCUGGAUGAGACCGAGUGGAGUCCGAAGGCCCCGCAUAGUGCCACAUGGCGUGGUGUCGGGCCUGCGGCGGCUGGAUGCGCCGACCCAGAAAAGUCUCCAGCAGGUCCGUGCCGGUGACUCCCUUGCGGACGACGGCUAUCAGCGCGUCGACCAAAGGCUGGAUCUGGAUCCUUUCCCCCUUAGAGAGCGCAGGCUUCCUGGGAGGGCCCGAACGGUCUAGGCUAAAAGGUGGCAGCCCGCUCGAGGCAUUCGGACAAGCAAUGUCCUGGCAAUGGAACCAGGUCGAUUGCCAGUUCCUAACUGACUCAGACAACUGGAGGGGGGGGGUAGCUACUCUUUGUUUUCUUCUGGAAACCUAAACCCCCGCAGAGCUGGAGGAGAUGGGUCUUAUCGUCCGACUGGCUAAGCUUUUUGACGGUUUGGGAUCUAGCGGAGAAGACGUACUUAAAGAGCCCCCGGUGAGGGGGACAUCCAAUAAAGCACUCACAAAGGGUGACGAAUGCAGCAAGGUGGGCUAUUGCGUUUGGAGGAAAAUGAUGGAGCUGCGCCCCGAAGUAGGUCAUGAUACCUCGGAAGAAGGGGUGGGGAGGCAAGGAAAAGCCCCUGAACACGUGGCUGAGCAGCAGGACGCGCUCCCCCUCUUUCGGCGCCGGCUCCGUCUCGCCUUCCGGCAGCCUCUACGACUUGUUGACGAUCAUGCCGUGCUCCACCAGCUCUAGCAAGUCGUCCUCCGUCACCGAGGAGGGGAGGAAAUCCCCCUGGAUCCAACCCGCCGACAGCGCCCGCUGCCGCCACUGAGUAGGGGCUGCCCCCUUCUUCUUCUUCUUCUGCGACUCAAGUUUGCUGGUCUGCCCCUUCGUCAUGGUGAAGGCGACGGAUCCGCAGAGGAGGAGGGGAAGGAGGAGGCUUGAGGCAUGCAGAGAGCUGCGGGAGGAGCGGGAUUAAUGCGAGGAAGAUGAGCAGCGCAACAAGAAAUCCCGCCGGAGAGGCUUAAAUAAGCUUCCGACUGGGUCACUAAUAGGUGGACCCGAAAUCUUAUCUCCCCAACCGGCUGCUGCGAUGUUAGUGGAGAAGAUAAAGGUGCGGUAAUCGAGGUGGCAAAACCUACUCGAUGGCGAUGUCAUCAUCCCCGCUGAGCGCGCGGCAACCGAAAUUUGAGGAUCCCGGAAAAUCCGGCGCUCUCAGUUUGACCAGUCACAUCGAAAGAUUCCGCGGAAGCACUCGGUCUCUGACGGUUUGUUUCACUGAUAUAUUCACUUGGAUCACUGGUUGAAAGGAUAAAAUGGAUCGAGGCAAACAACGCCAAAUUCACCUUCAUACCAGUCGGAUCCAUACUCUAGACAUCACUUCAUCGUUCCAACCCCGAUCCAUUCGGGGACUAAUGAUGGGGUUAUAGCCCCAGGGUAGGGUCAUAGGCCUGCCCUAUAGGUCCUACCCAAGGACUACCCUUCACAGAGGACAAGAGCCUUAAACGGUUCCGACUGAACUAAGGACUCCCCCACCAUCCAGUCGGCGACUAGCACUCGGAGUAUAUUUAACGUACCGACUGGAAUCCACUCUCUACAUCGUAACCUCCCAGGAGGGCAACGGUCAUACGUUUCCAUACACCAUUAUUAGCAUUUAAGGCUUACAUUGCCUGUAACGUGGGCAUUUACUCGCCAUUAUUCCACCCCUGUCCACCGGGCCAUUAUGAAGGGCAGCGCACUCUAUAUAAGCCGCCCUUCCCCACUGGUGCAGGGGUUGGCUUUUACUGUAACCCUAUAUUCCACUCGACACUAAGCUCCCAAGAGCACUGAGACGUAGGGCUUUUACCUCCACCGUAGAGGGGCCUGAACUCAUACAUCCUCCCCGUAGCUAAGGCUCUGCCCAUCCUUUCGUACCCCAUACAUCUACUGUCAGACUUAUACCCACGACAAGCACUAUAGAUGGUGUGGAAUGUGGUGGAGGUUGCAAGACAAAAAGGAGAAGAUAGUCACAUUAACUAGGCAUAUCAAUGAGGUGUGGAGAUGCUCAUCAAUAGAUAUCAAUGUGAAUGAGUAGGGAUUGCCAUACAAAUGAUGCACUAGAGCUACAAGUAUGUGAAAGCUCUUAAAGAAAACUAGUGGGUGUGCAUCCAACUUGCUUGCUCACGAAGACCUAAGGCAAUUUUGAGGAAGCCUAUCAUUGGAAUAUACAAGCCAAGUUAUAUAAUGAGAAUUUCCCACUAGCUAUAUGGUGGUGACAAAACGAGAGACUCUCAAUCAGGAAGAUCAUGGUGCUCAAUAUGCACAAGUGUGGAAAAAGUGGUAGCAUUGUCCCUUCUCUCUUUUUCUCUUUUUUUUGGUGGGCUCUUUGGCCUCUUUUAUUUCCUCACAUGGGACAAUGCUCCAAUAAUGAUGAUCAUCACACUUUCAACUCAAAACUUAGAGCAAUUAUGACUCUAUAUGGAAUGCCUUCGGUAGUGUACCAUGGCAAUGAUCUAGCAUGACAUAGAUAUCAAUGGAAACAUCAUGCUAGCUAUCUUAGGAUCAUGCAAAGGCAAUGUAGACUUGGUGGCACAUAACAUGGUGGUAGUUGCAUGGCAAUAUAUCUCGGAAUGACUUUGAAAAAGCCAUAGUAGGUAGGUAUGGUGGUUGUUUUGAGGGAGGAUAAUUGUGGGUUUUGUGCACCGGCGAAAGUUGCGCGGCACUAAGAAGAUAGUGAUGGUGGAAGGUGAAAGUGCAUCUAAACCAUGGACUCAUCAUUAGUCAUGAAGAACUCAUAUACUUGUUGCAAAAGUUUUAUUAGUAAUCGAAACAAAGCAUUCAACGCAUACUCCUAGGAGAAGGAUUGGUAGGUAUAAACCAUCGCGCGAUCCCGACCGCCACGCAAAGGAUGACCAUCAAUAUACUAAUCAUGCUCAGAUUUCAUCACAUAUCGGUUCACCAUAUGUGCAUGCUACGGGAAUCACUAACUUCAACACAAGUAUUUCUAGAUCCACAACACCUUACUAGCAUGACUUCAAUAUUACCAAAACCACAACUCAAAACUAAUUGAGAUGAAUCAAACUUCUCUAACUAUUCAAUGCACAUGAAGGUGGAAGUUUUCGUAUCCCUUUGGAUAACUACCCCUUUUGAGACUACUUUAAAAGCAUAGAUCAACUACAAAUCCACGCACCGCUGCGCUCUAAAAGAUAUAAGUGAAGCACAUAGAGCAAAAGUAUCUAGCUCAAAAGAUAUAAGUGAAGCACAUGUGAGCUGAAUUGUCUACCAAAAGAUAUAAGUGAAGCUCGACAAAAUCACGGUGAGUGCAUGUCUCUCUCUCUAGGUGUGCAGCAAGGAUGAUUGUGACACAACAAAAUAAAAGACUCCUACGAUACAAGGCGCUCCAAGCAAAAACACAUAACAUAUGGUGAAUAAAAAUAUAGCCCCAAGUAACGUUACCGAUAGAUUGAAGACGAGAGAGGGGAUGCCUUCCCGGGGCAUCCCCAAGCUUAGGCUUUUACGGCAUCCUUGAAUAUCUUGGGGUGCCUUGGUCAUCCCCAAGCUUGAGCUCUUGCCACUCUUUAUCUUUUUGUCCAUUAGAACUUCACCCAAGACUUGAAAACUUCACAACACGAAACUUAAACAGAAACUCGUGAUAACAUUAGUACAAGAAAGCAAACCACCACUUCCUUAGGUACUGUAGCAAACUUAAAUUCUACUUUGCUGAUGUUGGGUUACUGUACUUUCAAUCUUCCAUGGCUAAUACCCCCCGAUACUAUCCAUAGUUUCAUCAAAAUAAGCAACCAACACAACAAAAACAGAAUCUGUUAACAGCAGACCAGUCUGUAGCAAUCUGUAUGUUUCGUAUACCUCUGUACUUCAAAAAUUCUGAAAAAUUACGACAGUCUGAAGAAUUUGCGUAGAAAUCAGCACCAAAAAGAAUCAACUCAAAAGCUCUUACAGAAAAAAUGAAAAUUCUUUUCGUGAGGAGAUAGUUUUUGUCUUUCCCAGCAUGACCAAACGAUCACCCUCAAGACUAAUCAUAACGGUUUUGCUUGGCACAAACGCAAAAAGAAACACAAAAAACACAAUCAUAACAGAAUUAUGAAAGUGUGGAAAACAGAAAAUAGAAAGAAAAAGGAUAAAUUCAUUGGGUUGCCUCCCAACAAGCGCUUUUGUUUAACGCCCUUAGCUAGGCGAAAGUGAUGGAAUCACGUAUAGUCAUCUUUGGUGCUCAAACCAUAGGUAGCAUGAUCAUUUAUCAUCUUAAGAUUUUCAUUUUUAUUAGAUGACUCACCACUAGCUCUAGGAACAAAAACAGGCUUGACGGUCUUUUUGAGAGUAAGAUUUGGAGUAUUUUGCACAGCGGCAAAAGCGGAACCCAAGUAGGUUAUGACAUCUUCUAAUUUGCCAAUUCUAGAAGAAUCAUUAACUAUAAGUUCCUUCUUCUUUAAAUUUUUCAAAAAGUUUCCCACUUUGGAUCCGUACUAAGUAAUUUGAUCGUGGAUCUUUCUAUCCAAACCCUCAAUAAGUUCAACUGUGGCAAUUUUGUUUUCAAUAGCGUCAAGCCUUUGCAUCACAUGUUCCAAGGUCAAGAUAGUUCCAUUAACCAUGAGCGGGGGUGAGCCUACCAAAUUAAUGAUAGCUCUAUAGGAGUCAACAGUAUGGCUCCCCAAAAAGUUCCCGCCUACAAUGGUAUCAAGGAUGUAUCUAUUCCAAGGAGAAAUUCCAACAUAGAAACAGCGAAGGAGGACGGUAGUGGAUUGCUUACGAGUAGAUCUACUUUGAGCAUUGCAAAUCCUGUACCAAGGGUCCUUCAAAUUUUCUUCCUCAUGCUGCCUGAAAUUGAGAACUUCAUUUUCAGGGGUGUCGUUUGGAGCGGUGGGUCUAGCCAUUGCUGGACUAUCUCACGCACAAACGAGCGGGAAGAGAGAAUGAAACGGGCAAAAGAAAACAGCAAAAAGGCAAAAGAAAACGGCGAAGGAGAAAGGCGGAUGAAAACGACAAAUGUGAAGUGGGGGAGAGGAAAACGAGAGGCAACUGGCAACAAAAGUAAAUGCAAGAGAAGAGUUUGUGAGACAUACUUGGAUAGAUCUUGAUUUCUCCUCCCCGGCAACGGCGCCAGAAAUACUUCUGAUGGCUGCUGUGUAUCCCUUGCAACGGCGCCAGAAAUAGUUGCGUCGACGGCACCAGGAAUCCUUCAACUGCGGCUACGCCUUAAGGGACUUUCUAGGAAAGUAUGCAAAGGAUUUCCCCCGUGGCCUUGGAACCCUGCGUUGGUGUUCCCUCGAAGCGGAAAGGGUGAUGUAGCACAGCGACAGUAAGUAUUUCCCUCAGUUUGAGAACGAAGGUAUCAAUCCGACGGAAGAGUAUCUCAAGAUCCUGCACAAACACAAAAGCUUGCACCCAACGCUAUGAAGGGGUUGUCAAUCCCUUAUAGAUUGUUUGCCAAAUGAGAACUGAAAGCAACAAAGUAACAAAGCAAAGUAAAAGCGGAGUUUUAAACGAUGGAUGUGAAUAGACCCGGGGGCCGUAGUGUUUACUAGUGGCUUCUCUCAUGAAAGCAAGUAGACGGUGGGUGAAACAUUUACUGUCGAGGAAUUGAUAGAACUGUGUUGAGUCAUGACGAUAUCUAUGCAAUGAUUAUUUCUAUAGGCAUCACGUCCGAAACAAGUAGACCAAUACUUUCUGCAUGUACUACUAUUACUCCACACGUCGACCGCUAUCCAGCAUGCAUCUAGUGUAUUAAGUCCAUAAGAACAGAGUAACGCCUUAAGCAAGAUGACAUGAUGUAGAGGGAUAAUCUCAAACCAAUGAUAAAAACCCCAUCUUUUUACCCUUGAUGGCAACUGCUUGAUGUGUGCCUUGCUGCCCCUACUGUCACUGGGAAAGGUCACCACAUGACAGAACCCAAAACCAAACACUUCUCCCAUUGCAAGAAUCGUAGAUCUAGUUGGCCAAACAAAACCCAAGACUCGGAGAGACUUACAAGGAUAUCAACUCAUGCAUAUAAGAAAUCAGCAGAGGCUCAAAUAUAUAUCAUAGAUAAUCUGAUCACAAGUCCACAAUUCAUCGGAUCUCGACAAACACACCGCCAAAGAAGAUUACAUCGGAUAGAUCCCCAUGAAGAUCAUGGAGAACUUUGUAUUGAAGAUCCAAGAGAGAGAAGAAGACAUCUAGCUACUAACUACGGACCCGUAGGUCUGAAGUGAACUACUCACGAGUCAUUGGAGGGGCGAUGAUGAUGAUGAAGAAGCCCUCCAGCUCCAAAGUCCCCUCCGGCAGGGUGCCGGGAAGGGUCUCCAGAUGAGAUCUCGUGGAAAAGGAAGCUUGCGGCGGCGGAAAAGUAUUUUCGAGGCUCCCCGAUUUUUUGCGGAAUAUUUGGGAAUUUAUAGGCCAAACAGAGAGAGAAGAAGCCAUCUAGCUACUAACUACGGACCUGUAGGUCUGAAGUGAACUACUCACGAGUCAUUGGAGGGGCGAUGAUGAUGAUGAAGAAGCCCUCCAGCUCCAAAGUCCCCUCCGGCAGGGUGCCGGGAAGGGUCUCCAGAUGAGAUCUCGUGGAAAACGUUUGAGACGUAUCAUUAGGCAGACAACCCGAUUUACUUUCGGAUAGGAGAGAAAAAGGAAAAAUGCCAUCCAACCGGACCCCUCACUAUGUCCUCAUAUGUCUAGGCUAUUUGCAAAUCCCCAUACCAAGCCCAUAUAUGGAGUGGAUAUGGGGAUGUCCGGGCGGUUCUCGAUGUAGGAUAUGGCCCACAGGGACUAUAUUUUUCUUUUAUCUUUCCUUUCUCUCUUUCUUUAUAUCCACCAAUGACAUGCAUAUAUCUGACCGGACAAUUUAAGGACAAAAUAGAAGACAUGGUGACAUGCAUCCACAAAUGGGGGGUUUGAAAUAAACAUGUCUAGAUGCUGAUGUGACAUGUCCUCGGACGUUUGAGGAGUUUUGCCCAUUGUGGUUGUAGAUACCUCGAGUCACAUGUGGCAGCCCACGUGUGGUGUUGUAUGAUCUUUCCUCAAUGCUUGUGUGCUGGUUGUUUAGGGUACUCUAGAAUCAAUGGUGAAUCUUGAAAAAAAAAGGCUGGACUUACAGUUUACACCGAGAAAACUAUACACUUACUUGAAGGAAAAAUCGGCUAUCUCCUAAUCAUUUUGUGCAGAUAAAUAAAUUUUCCCACGUUACUAUUGGAAAUAUGUAGUAUUUACUAGAUUAUCUUUGGAUUUAUUUGAAAACAUCUUUUGAAAAAAACACUAAAUAUGUUGAGCGAGAUAGCCAUUAUACCCAAAUUCAUUUGUUCAAAUAAGCUCAAAUUUUUCCAGAUAACUAAUAGAAACACGUACUAUUUACUAGAAAUUUUUCGUAUUUUUUGAAAAUAUUAAAUAUUGGAAAAAAAUUGAAUCUGUUCACUCUAACAUCCAUUAUCUCCAAAUCCAUUCGUCCAAAUAAGCUAUAGUUUUUCUAGAUUUAAACUAGAAACAUGGACUAUUUACUAGUAUAUUUCUGGAUUUUCUGAAAAUAUCAAAUUUUGAACAAAAAAAAGAAUCCAUUCACUAUAAUAGCCAUUAUCUCCAAAUUGUUUCGUCCAAAUAAGCUCAAUCUUUCCCAAAUAAGGCCAACACUAGUAGCAUGAUUGACCAGACAACAAAGUUUCAUACAAUCCGCACACCAAUACAUCAAGUAACAGAGAAGCAACGAGAAAAAGACAAAGACAAUGAUAAUGGUAUUGCUUCUGAGUUCUUACUGAUGGUGUUGUAGUUGUAGUCUUGUAGAAUACCUCCACACCAAAGUGCAAGUGACAAAUUACAAGCCAUACCGAGGAGGUAAAUGUCCUUUGUGAUUUCUCUUUUUCUGGAAUCAUAUCAUAAUUUGAUCAUCCGGGAUACUUUUGAAUAUCAUUUUCUCUUAGUACAUACCAUUAAUUCAUUGAGCCAAUUAUUUGAUAUCUUAUUGCACAAAUCUGUUUUGGUGAUCUUCAUUGCUGAAAAUAUUCGCUUAGUCGAUGAAGUUGCCACUGGAAGAAUCACUGUCAACUCGAUGAGGCGAUAUACUAAUUGGAAAGUUCCAUGUUUUGUUGUUUGAACCAUCAACCAAGCAAGGGUAGAAACAUCCGUACAUCCAUUAAAUUCCAUGCUUCUCCUAACAUUUGUAAGGAAAGCUGGAAGCUCAAAUCUUAGCAACAACCGUUCAGCUUGUGUAAAAUCCUCAACAUAAAUCUAGGCGCACUACAGAGAGACAGAAUAAAACUACCCACAUCAGUCGGUCGAGCCUUCUGUUGGAUGGCAGCGGAGCCGCGAAAGUCGAGCGACGGGCGAUUGCGAUCCAGACGCUGCAGAGGGCCCUGCUGCCCUGGCCGACUAUGCCGACGAGCUGCCCAGCAACAACAGCUCAGCUCCCACAGUGGCAGACUUCCUCGGUUGAUGACAACACCUGACACUCCGAUAGAGAAUCAACGGGGAAGUGGGGAGGCGGCAUCCGACCACUAGAGGAGAAAUGGCUAGCGACAACUUACGUUGGGGGCGCGCCGUUUCUGGCAAAUGUCAGCACUAAUAAUUUCAAAUAGUGUUGGUUGGUGUCUACUACACAACUUUAUUCUUCUAGACUCGUAUUGGGCCUCCAAGCACAGAGUUUUGUAGGACAGCACCAAUAUUCCUCAAGUGUUUGACCUAAGGUUUAUCAAUCUGUGGGAGGCGUAGGAUGACGAUGGUCUCUCUUUGGAACAACCGUGCAACCAAAUAAUAUAAAGUAUCUUGUGUCCCCAACACACCAAAUACAACGGUAAAUUGUAUAGGUGCACUAGUUCGGCGAAGAGGUAGUGAUACAAGUAUAGUAAUGAUAAUAGAUAUUGAUUUUUGUAAUAGGAACAAUAACAACAAGGUAGCAAGUAACAAAAGUGAGCACAAACGGUAUUGCAAUGCUUGAAAAAUGAGACCUAGAGUCGUACUUUUGCUAGUGCAAUCUCUCAACAAUUCUACUCUCUCCAUUUUUACAUACAAGGCCACUAUAAAAAUUAAAAUUUAUAGAAAUAAAAGGCCACUAACACCAAUUGAUGCAAUAUUAAUGGUGUUUGCCUUGUAGUACUAACAAAGGAGGACAUUAAUUAUUCCUUGCAUGCAUGCGGGAGUGAGAUCACUGGCUUGGUGUGCAUGAAAGAGAAAUAUACACAUUAAUUUACACGAUCAAUAAGGAGACAAACUGUCUUGGAACAUUGACUUGGAAGACAUUAACUUUUGCCUUGGUACGUGUAAUAUGAGUUUGUGGCCUUGUAUAAAAAAUGGAGGGAGUAAUAUAAUUGGAUCACAUAACUAUCCAUCAACGUGCAAUAAAGAAUCACUCCAAAGUUCCUAUCUAGUGGAAAACAUAAGAAGAAAUUGUUAGUAGGGUACAAAACCAUGUUAAAGUUAUUGUUUCUUGUCAAUCUUUUCAAGAAUUCAUACUAACAUAACAAGUUAUCUUUUCCGAUUGAUCUAUCCAAGAGUUCAUACUAAAAUUACACCAUAACAAAUUCAGAUUCAUAAUACUCAAUCCAACAGAAAGAAACCUCAAAGAGUGCUCCAAGAUUUCUACCUGAGAAACAAAGAUGAGAAUGUGCAUCAAUCCCUAUACAUAGAUUACCCCAAUGUCAUCUCGGGAAGCCCCGAUUGAGUGCCAAAACAUAUAUGAAGUGAAUCAAUAUGAUACCCCAUUGUCCCCAUGAUUAUUCAUAGCAAGACAUAAAUCAAGUGCUCUCAAAACCAUCAAAGUAUUCAAUCCAAUAAAAUGAAAUCUCAAAGGGAAAACUCAAUUCAUCACAACAAGAUAGAGAGGGAGAAACACCAUAUGAUCCAAGUAUAUUAACAAAGCCCGCGAUAUAUCAAGAUCAUGCCAUCUCGAGGACAUGAGAGAGAGAGAGAGAGAGAUUAGACACAUAGAUACUAGUACAAACCCUCAGCCCCGAGGGUGGACUACUCCCUCCUCGUCAUGGCCUCCGCCGGGAUGAUGAAGAUGGCCACCGGAGAUGAUCUCCCCCUCCGGCAGGGUGCCGGUACAGUCUCUCGAUUGGUUUUUGUGGCUACAGAGGCUUGCGGCGAUGGAACUCCCGGUCUCGGUUUCUUUUUGGGGGUUUCUAUAUUUAUAGGAAUUUAUGGCGGUGGAAUUACGUCAGUUGGGCCCACGAGGAGGUCACGAGCCUGCUAGGCCCUCCCGGGCACUACUAGGAAAAGGGCUAUAGAUAAUAUAGACACUAAUGGCGCACCAGACAAGUGGUGCGCCACUACUAUAUAGCAGGGGCGUACCAUGUGCAGGUGCGCCUUUAGUGUGAUAGACACUAACGGCGGACCACACACACGGUGCGCCACUACUAACAAACUUUUUUCCCCAAAAAUACUAAUGACGCACCGGGGCAGAGUGCGCCAUUACUAGUUUAACUAGUAAUCGCGCACCACUCACCGAGUGCGCCACUACUAUAGUUUAACUACUAAUCAGAAGUAUUCCUCGUUUUUCCCCUUGGGCGGCCUGUCAGGAGAGCUGAAACCGACGACGACGCUACCACUCUCCUUCCUUCCCUUCCUUCACCGCGUCUCCUACCAGACAAAAUCCCAUCCGGAAUCUACAUCUCCCCCUCCGAUCCUCUUUCUCCCCCCUUCCCCGCUGCCUCCACCGGCGAGAAUCGCCGGCGCGCCCGUCGCAACGACCCAGGAGCCCUCCGUCACGGGCGGGCCUCUCCCCGGAACCACCGGAGGGAGGGGACGGGCAACCAGUCUCGUCCAGAGCCGGUAAGUGCUACUGCGACAACAGACCUUCCCUGGCAACGGCGCCAGGAAUCCUGCUGCUACGCCUACGCCUAUAGGGACUUCCUUGGCAAAUAUGCAAAGGAUUUCCCCGCGGCCUUGGAGCCUUGCGUUGGUGUUCCCUUGAAGAGGAAAGGAUGAUGUAGCACAACGGCGGUAAGGAUUUCUCUCAGUUUGAGAACCAAGGUAUCAAUCCAGUAGGAGGAGCGUUCAAGUCACAAGUACCUGCACAAACACAAAGAGCUUGGACCCAACGCUAUGAAGGGGUUGUCAAUCCCUUAUAGAUUGUUUGCAAAGUGAGAACUGAAAGCAAAAAGUAAACAAAGCAAAGUAAAAGUGAAAAUGGAAACGAUAGUUGUGAAUAGACAUGGGGGUCGUAGUGUUCACUAGUGGCUUCUCUCAUGAAAGCAAGUAGACGGUGGGUGAACGAAUUACUCUCGAGCAAUUGAUAGAACCGCGCAAAGUCAUGACGUUAUCUAUGGCAAUGAUUAUAUCUAUAGGCAUCACGUCCAAAACAAGUAGACCGAUACUUUUUUGCAUCUACUACUAUUACUCCACACGUCGACCGCUAUCCAGCAUGCAUCUAGCGUAUUAAGUUCAAAAGAACAGAGUAACGCCUUAAGCAAGAUGACAUGAUGUAGAUGAACAAUCUCAAAUCUAUGAUGAAAGCCAAUCUUGUUACCCUUGAUGGCAACAACACGAUGCGUGCCUUGCUGCCCCUUCUGUCACUCGCAAAGGUCACCACGCGGUAUGAACCCCGAUGCGUGCCUUGCUGCCCCUUCUGUCACUCGCAAAGGUCACCACGCGGUAUGAACCCAAAACCAAGCAAUUCUCCCAUUGCAAGAAUCAUAGAUCUAGUUGGCCAAACAAAACCCAAGACUCAGAGAGACUUACAAGGAUAUCAAAUAGUGCAUAUACGAAAUCAGCAAAGACUCAAAUAUAAUUCAUAGAUAAUCUGAUCACAAAUCCACAAUUCAUCGGAUCUCGACAAACACACCGCCAAAGAGGAUUACAUCGGAUAGAUCCCCAUGAAGAUCAUGGAGAACUUUGUAUUGAAGAUCCAAGAGAGAGAAGAAGACAUCUAGCUACUAACUACGGACCCGUAGGUCUGAAGUGGACUAGUCACGAGUCAUUGGAGAGGCGAUGAUGUUGAUGUAAAAGCCCUCCAACUCCAAAGUGAUAGGGCACCGGGAAGGGUCUCCAGAUGACAUCUCGCGGAAACGGAAGCUUGCGGCGGCGGAAAAGUGUUUUCGUGGAUGCCCUGAUUUUUUCUGCGAUUUAAGGGAAUUUAUAGGCCAAAGAGCUAGGGUAGGGGAGCUCCAGGGAGGCCACAAGCCUGGUUGCCGCGGGCCCCCUAGCCGCGGCAACAGGGCUUGUGGGCUCCCUGUGGGCCCCCUGCCUUGGCCCUCACGUCCCCCGAUCUUCUUCUGUUCUGGAAAAAAAUAUUUUGGGGAUUUUAUUCCGUUUGGACUACGUUCCAAAAUCAGAUCUGAAAAGAGUAAAAAACACAGAAAAAACACGAACUGGCACUUAGCACUGAAUUAAUAAGUUAGUCCCAAAAAAGAUGUAAAAGGUAUAUAAAACAUCCAAAGUUGACAAGAUGACAGCGUGAAACCAUCAAAAAUUAUAGAUACAUUUGAGACGUAUCAAGCAUCCCCAAGCUUAACUCAUGCUCGUCCUCGAGUAGGGAAGUGAUAAAGAAUAAACUUUUCAUGCUUUCAUGCUACCUAGCAUAGAUGUCCUUUGUAACUCCUCUUAUGUGACAUGAAUGUUCAGAUCCAUUAGAUUCAAAACAAUAGUUUGCUAUUGACGCAGAGACAAUAAUACUUCAAGCAAACUAGCAAGGUAAUCAUGAACUUUCAAAAUAACAAGGCCAAAAGAAGGUUAUCCCUACAAAAUCAUAUAGUCUGGCUAUGCUCUAUCAUCCUUGCACAACGAAUCUAGAUCAUGCACAACCCCGGUAUUGGCCAAGUAAUUGUUUUCACACCUUUACUUUCUCAAACCUUUUCAACUCUCACGCAAUACAUGAGCGUGAGCCAUGGUUUUAGCACUAUAAGUGGUGUGGAGUGUGGUGGAGGUUGCAAGACAAACAAGGAGAAGAUGGUCACAUUGACUAGGCAUAUCAAUAAGCUAUGGAGAUGCUCAUCAAUAGAUAUCAACGUGAAUGAGUAGGGAUUGCCAUACAAUUGAUGCACUAGAGCUAAGAGUAUGUGAAAGCUCUUAAAGAAAACUAGUGGGUGUGCAUCCAACUUGCUUGCUCACGAAGACCAAAGGCAAUUUUGAGGAAACCUAUCAUUGGAAUAUACAAGCCAAGUUAUAUAAUGAAAAUUUCCCGCUAGCUAUAUGCUGGUGACAAAACGAGAGACUCUCAAUCAUGAAGAUCAUGGUACUUAAUAUGCACAAGUGUGGAAAGGUGGUAGCAUUAUCCAUUCUCUCUUUUUCUCUCAUUUUUUGGUGGGCUCUUUGGCCUCUUUUUUUGGUGGGCAUCUUUGGCCUCUUUUAUUUCCUCACAUGGGACAAUGCUCCAUCAAUGAUGAUCAUCACACUUACAACUCAAAACUUAGAGCAAUGAUGACUCUAUAUAGAAUGCCUUCGGUAGUGUACCGUGACAAUGAUCUAGCAUGGUAUAGACAUCAAUGGGAACAUCAUGGUAGCUAUCUUAUGAUCAUGCAAUGGCAAUGUAGAAGUGGUGGCACAUGUCAUGGUCGUAGUUGCAUGGCAAUAUAACUCAGAAUGGCUUUGAAAAAACCAUAGUAGGUAGGUAUGGUGGCUGUUUUGAGGGAGGCUAAUGGUGGGUUUUGUGCACCGGCGAAAGUUGCACGGCACUAAAGAAGAUAGUGAUGGUGGAAGGUGAAAGUGCAUCUAAACCAUGGACUCAGCAUUAGUCAUGAAGAACUCAUAUACUUGUUGCAAAAAAUUUAGUAGUAAUCGAAACAAAGCAUUCAGUGCAUACUCCUAGGGGAAGGUCUGGUAGGUAAAAACCAUCGCGCGAUCCCGACCGCCACACAAAGGAUGACAAUCAAUAUACUAAUCAUGCUCAGACUUCAUCACAUAGCGGUUCACCAUACAUGCAUGCUACGGGAAUCACUAAAUUCAACACAAGUAUUUCUAGAUCCACAAUACCUUACUAAUAUAACUUCAGUAUUACCACAACCACAACUCAAAACUAAUUGAGAUGAAUCAAACUUCUCUAACUAUUUAAUGCAACUGAAGGUGGAAGUUUUCAUAUCCCUUUGGAUAACUACCCCUUUUGAGACUACUAUCAUAGCAUAGAUCAACUACCAAGCCACGCGCUUCCGUGCUCUAAAAGAUAUAAGUGAAGCACAUGUGAGCUGAAUUGUCUAACCAAAGGAUAUAAGUGAAGCUCGACAAAAUCAUGGUGAGUGCAUGUCUAUCUCUCUAGGUGUGCAGCAAGGAAGAUUGUGACACAACAAAAAUAAAAGACUCCUAUGAUACAAGACGCUCCAAGCAAAACACAUAACAUGUGGUGAAUAAAAAUAUUGCCCCAAGUAACAUUACCGAUGGAUUGAAGACGAAAGAGGGGAUGCCUUCCCGGGGCAUCCCCAAGCUUAGGCUUUUACGACAUCCUUGAAUCAACUUGGGGUGCCUUGGGCAUCCCCAAGCUUGAGCCCUUGCCACUCUUUAUCUUUUUGUCCAUAAGAACUUCACCCAAAACAUGAAAACUUCACAACACGAAACUUAAACAGAAACUCGUGAUAACAUUAGUAUAAGAAAGCAAACCACCACUUCCUUAGGUACUGUAGCAAACUUAAAUAAUACUUAUGUUGAUGUUGGGUUACUUUAUUCGUAUACUUCUGGUUCUUCAAAAAUUCUGAAAAAUUACGAAAGUCUGAAGAAUUUGCGUAGCAAUCAGCAUAAAAAAGAAUCAACUCAAAAGCCCAUACAGAAAAAAAUGAAAAUUCUUUUAGUGAGCAGAAAGUUUUUGUCUUUUCCAGCAUGACCAAACGAUCAUCCCCAAGACUAAUCAUAACGGUUUUGCUUGGCACAAACACAAAAAGAAACACAAAAAACACAAUCAUAACAGAAUUAUGAAAGUGUGGAAAACACAAAAGAGAAAGAAAAAGGAUAGAUUCGUUGGGUUGCCUCCCGACAAGCGCUAUUGUUUAACGCCCUUAGCUAGGCAAAAGGUGAUGGAAUCACGUAUAGUCAUCUUUGGUGCUCAAACCAUAAGUAGCGUGAUCAUUUAUCAUCUUAAGAUUUUCGUCUUUAUUGGAUGACUCACCACUAGCUUUCGGAACAAAAACAGACUUGACGGUCUUUUUGAGAGUGAGAUUCGGAGUAUUUUGCACAGCGGAAAAAGAGAAACCCAAGUUGGUUAUGCCAUCUUCUAGUUUGCCAAUUCUAGAGGAAUCAUUAACUAUAGGUUCCUCUCCCUUAAAUUUUUCAAAACCAUUCCCACUUUGGAUCCGUACUAAGUAAUUUGAUUGUGGAUCUUUCUAUCCAAACCCUCAAUAAGUUCAAUUGUGGCAAUUUUGUUUUCAAUAGCGACAAGCCUUUGCAUCACGUGUUCCAAGGUCAAGGUAGUUUCAUUAACCAUGAGCGGGGGUGAGCCUACCAAAUUUAUGAUAGCUCCAUAGGAGUCAACAGUAUGGCUCCCCAAAAAAUUCCCGCCUACGAUGGUAUCAAGAAUAUACCUAUUCCAAGGAGAGAUUCCAACAUAAAAACUGCAAAGAAGAACGGUAGUGGAUUGCUUACGAGUAGAUCUACUUUGAGCAUUGCAAAUCCUGUACCAAGCGUCCUUUAAAUUUUCUUCCUCAUUCUGCUUGAAAUUGAGAACUUCGUUCUCAGCGGUAUCGUUUGGAGUGGUGGGUCUAGCCAUUGAUGGACUAUCCCACACACAAACGAGCAGGAAGUAAGCGAGCGAAACGGGCAAAAGAGAACUACAAAAAGGCAAAAGAAAACAACAAAGGAGAAAGGCAAAAUGGCAAAUGAAAAUGGCAAGGGAGAAAGGAAAAUGAAAACGGCAAAUGUGAAGUGGGGGAGAGGAAAACGAGAGGCAACUCGCAAAAAAGGUAAAUGCAAGAGAUGAGUUUGUGACACCUACUUGGAUAGAUCUUGACUUGAUCUCUCCUCCCUGGCAACGGCGCCAGAAAUCCAUCUGCUACUGCGACAACAGACCUUCCCUGGCAACGGCGCCAGGAAUCUUGCUGCUAUGGCUACGCCUAUAGGGACUUCCUUGGCAAAUAUGCAAAGGAUUUCCCCGCGGCCUUGGAGCCUUGCGUUGGUGUUCCCUUGAAGAGGAAAGGGUGAUGUAGCACAGCGGCGGUAAGUAUUUCCCUCAGUUCGAGAACCAAGGUAUCAAUCCAGUAGGAGGGGCGUUCAAGUCACAAGUACCUGCACAAACACAAAGAGCUUGCACCCAACGCUAUGAAGGGGUUGUCAAUCCCUUAUAGAUUGUUUGCAAAGUGAGAACUGAAAGCAAAGAGUAAACAAAGCAAAGUAAAAGUGAAAGUGGAAACGAUAGUUGUGAAUAGACCCGGGGGCUGUAGGUUUAAAUAGUGGCUUCUCUCAUGAAAGCAAGUAGACGGUGGGUGAACGAAUUACUGUCGAGCAAUUGAUAGAACCGCGCAAAUUCGUGACGUUAUCUAUGGCAAUGAUUAUAUCUAUAGGCAUCACGUCCAAAACAAGUAGACCGAUACUUUCUGCAUCUACUACUAUUACUCCAUACGUUGACCGCUAUCCAGCAUGCAUCUAGUGUAUUAAGUUCAAAAGAACAGAGUAACGCCUUAAGCAAGAUGACAUGAUGUAGAUGAACAAUCUCAAAUCUAUGAUGAAAGCCAAUCUUGUUACCCUUGAUGGCAACAACAUGAUGCGUGCCUGGCUGCCCCUUUUGUCACUGGGAAAGGUCACCACAUGGUAUGAACCCAAAACCAAGCACUUCUCCCAUUUCAAGAAUCAUAGAUCUGGUUGGCCAAACAAAACCCAAGACUCGGAGAGACUUACAAGGAUAAUAAAUCAUGCAUAUAAGAAAUCAGCAAAGACUCAAAUAUAAUCCAUAGAUAAUCUAAUCACAAAUCCACAAUUCAUCGGAUCUCGACAAACACACCGCCAAAGAGGAUUACAUCGGAUAGAUCUCCAUGAAGAUCAUGGAGAACUUUAUAUUGAAGAUCCAAGAGAGAGAAGAAGCCAUCUAGCUACUAACUACGGACCCGUAGGUCUGAAGUGGACUACUCACGAGUCAUUGGAGAGGUGAUGAUGUUGAUGUAAAAGCCCUCCAACUCCAAAGUCCCCUCCGACAGGGCACCGAGAAGGGUCUCCAGAUGAGAUCUCGUGGAAACGGAAGUUUGCGGCGGCGGAGAAGUCUUUUCGUGGAUGCCCUGAUUUUUUUUGCGAUUUUAGGGAAUUUAUAGGCCAAAGAGCUAGGGCAGGGGAGCGCCAGGGAGGCCACAAGCCUGGUUGCCGCGGGCCCGCUGGCCGCGGCAACAGGGCUUGUGGGCUCCCUGUGGGCCCCCUGCCUUGGCCCUCACGUCCCCGAUCUUCUUCUGUUCUGGAAAAAUUUAUUUCGGGGAUUUUAUUCCGUUUGGACUCCGUUCCAAAAUCAGAUCUGAAAAGAGUAAAAAACACACAAAAAACAGGAACUGGCACUUGGCACUGAAUUAAUAAGUUAGUCCCAAAAAAGAUAUAAAAGGUAUAUAAAACAUCCAAAGUUGACAAGAUAACAACGUGAAACCAUCAAAAAUUAUAGAUACGUUUGAGACGUAUCAGUAAGCAGCCUCCCCACCCCACCCACCCGCCGCUUCACGAUCGAGAUCUCGAGCGAGCUCAGAUCCGCGGGGAGCAACCGGCGCGUGUUGCGCUCGCAGGGUAGAUAGAGUAGGGUUGGUCGGUCUUGUUUUCCCCAAUCCUGCUCUCUCAACCUCGUCUGGUCAUUGGUCGGGCGAUCAGAUUUAGUUUUGGUGGAUUCUGGCCAUUGCUGGUGCCGUAUUGACGCAACCUCCAAUGCCUUGCUCCUUACGCAGUUGCCUCUCCUCUUUCUUCCCAGCUUCGAUUGCAGGUAUGCAGAGCCAGAUCGUGUGCCACCAUUGCCGGAGGGUGCUGGCCUACCCGUCAGGGGCGCCCAGCGUGUGCUGCGCCAUGUGCCGAGCCAUCACCAUCGUGCCACCCCCAGCGCCAGGUACUUGAUCGCAGCGUCAUUUCAUUUCAGUUGCUCUUUUCGUGUUGGCAUGGCCUCACAACGUGUAUAACCAUUCCGAGGUUCAACUUUGGGAAUGUUAAUUUGGAGGUAAAAUAAGAGUUAUGACAAUUCUUAUAAAACCUAUGUGGAAGGAAACAUUUAUGAGUGCAUGCUACCAAAGAGUUAGCACGGGGUUUAAAUUUCACUCUGGCUACACACAUGUUUAGCUUCGUCAGAUUCUUUUCUGUGUUACUUUAGUUCAAGCUUCUGCAUGCCUAGUUUCACUACCUGCUGCUUGUAGGAUACUUACUCCAGCAUGGAUAAUAUCAGCUUGAUGGAUAAAUCUGUCUUUUGUUCUCAAAAGCCCAAGUGGUUUUCUGCAAAAAACUUAGAGAAGUAUUGUAAAUUCACAGGAAAUAAAAAAAUGUAAGUACCUGGUUUUCUUCUGACUGAAUCUCCAAAAUUACAUGGUUGUUAUAAACUAUAUGCUUUCUGUUGUAUUGUGAGCUGAUGGCGUUAAAUUCCCUAGUAAUAUUUUUUUCCCUGUUGGUGAGCUUUCAUCACUCUCCACAUUUUUGGCUGCCAAUAAGCUUGCACUUCCUGGUUCCAGCAUUUGGUAACUACUAACUAGAUCUGAAUAGCCAACCUAGUUAAGUUUGGAAGGUUUUUUGAGUCAUAUGGGGCUGAUGGCUGACCAGUUGGACACUAACAAUUAUCAAGAAAGUAUGAUCACAAACACGUGUUGGUACAAUUUUGUACAGUCUGGGCCGUGGUAGUACGGUUCUGUGCUUGCACGCUACCCUGCACAACUUUUUGUCAAGUUGCAUUCUCAAUCAAUUCAAGUUUGGAAGGUCGUUUUGUGUCCCAUGGGUCUGAUGGCUGACCAGCUGGACAGUAACAAUCUUGAAGAAAGUAUGAUCAGAAACGCCCCUUGAUAGAAUUAUGCAGAGUAGUAACGGGCCCGUGCUAUUACUGUUAUGUGCUUGCUAGCUCUCCUGUACAACUUUAUGUGAGUUGCAUUCUCAAGAGGAUCUCUCCCAUUUCUUCCUACCAUGCAUCACAAUCUCUUAACACAUCUUAGAAUUGGAUGAUUGAAUUUAAUAUAUCAGCCCUAUGGAUUCCGUACUGCAGUUCACUCUUCUCCCUACUCAUGUGCCAUUUAAUGCCAACAGUUUGCAUCCAAAACUGGUGUAAUCUUUCAAUCUUGUAUACUAUGAGUAGAUAUUAUCUCACUGGCAUUACUCCAUAUCACACUAAGGCAAUUUCUUCUGUUCAGGGAUAAGGCCUAUUUUGUGGAUCUCUUUGUAAAGGCAUUGAUACGUCUCAAACAUAUCUAUAAUUUUUUAUGGUUUCAUAUUGUUAUCUUGUCAACUUUGGAUGUUUUAUAUACCUUUUAUAUCUUUUUUGGGACUAACUUAUUAAUUCAGUGCCAAGUGUCACUUCCUGUUUUUUCUGUGUUUUUGACUCUUUUCAGAUCUGAUUUUGGAACGGAGUCCAAACGGAAUAAAAUCCCCGAAAUGAAUUUUUCCAGAACAGAAGAAGAUUGGGAGACUUGAGGGCCAAGGCAGGAGGUGUUGGAAUUAUGCCCUAGAGGCAAUAAUAAAUAUAGUUAUUAUUAUAAUUCCUAUAUCAAGAUAAUCGUUUAUUAUCCAUGCUAUAAUUGUAUUGAAUGAAGACUCAUUUACAUGUGUGGAUACAUAGACAAAACACCGUCCCUAGCAAGCCUCUAGUUGGCUAGCCAGUUGAUCAAAGAUAGUCAGUGUCUUCUGAUUAUGAACAAGGUGUUGUUGCUUGAUAACUGGAUCACGUCAUUAGGAGAAUCACGUGAUGGACUAGACCCAAACUAAUAGACGUAGCAUGUUGAUCGUGUCAUUUUGUUGCUACUGUUUUCUGCGUGUCAAGUAUUUAUUCCUAUGACCAUGAGAUCAUAUAACUCACUGACACCGAAGGAAUGCUUUGUGUGUAUCAAACGUCGCAACGUAACUGGGUGACUAUAAAGAUGCUCUACAGGUAUCUCUGAAGGUGUUAGUUGAGUUAGUAUGGAUCAAGACUGGGAUUUGUCACUCCGUGUGACGGAGAGGUAUCUCGGGGCCCACUCGGUAAUACAACAUCACACACAAGCCUUGCAAGCAAUAUAGCUUAGUGUAAGUUACGGGAUCUUGUAUUACGAAACGAGUAAAGAGACUUGCCGGUAAACGAGAUUGAAAUUGGUAUGCGGAUACUAACGAUCGAAUCUCGGGCAAGUAACAUACCGAAGGACAAAGGGAAUGACAUACGGGAUUAUAAGAAUCCUUGGCACUGAGGUUCAAACGAUAAGAUCUUCGUAGAAUAUGUAGGAUCCAAUAUGGGCAUCCAGGUCCCACUAUUGGAUAUUGACCGAGGAGUCUCUCGGGUCAUGUCUACAUAGUUCUCGAACCUGCAGGGUCUGCACACUUAAGGUUCGACGUUGUUUUAUGCGUAUUUGAGUUAUAUGGUUGGUUACCGAAUGUUGUUCGGAGUCCCGGAUGAGAUCACGGACGUCACGAGGGUUUCCAGAAUGGUCCGGAAACGAAGAUUGAUAUAUAGGAUGACCUCAUUUGAUUACCGGAAGGUUUUCGGAGUUACCGGGAAUGUACCGGGAAUGACGAAUGGGUUCCGGGAGUUCACCGGGGGGGGCAACCCACCCCGGGGAAGCCCAUAGGACUUGAGGGUGGCGCACCAGCCCUUAGUGGGCUGGUGGGACAGCCCAAAAGGGCCCUAUGCGCCUAGGAAAGAAAAUCAAAGAGAAAAAAAAGAGGAGGUGAGAAGGGAAGGAAGGACUCCCACCCACCAAACCAAGUCCAACUCGGUUUGGGGGGGGAGCCUUCCCCCCUUGGCUCGGCCGACCCCCUUGGGGCUCCUUGAGCCCCAAGGCAAGGUCCCCUCCCUCCCACCUAUAUAUACGGAGGUUUUAGGGCUGAUUUGAGAUGACUUUUCCACGGCAGCCCGACCACAUACCUCCACGGUUUUUCCUCUAGAUCGCGUUUCUGCGGAGCUCGGGCGGAGCCCUGCUGAGACAAGGUCAUCACCAACCUCCGGAGCACCAUCACGCUGCCGGAGAACUCUUCUACCUCUCCGUCUCUCUUGCUGGAUCAAGAAGGCCGAGAUCAUCGUCGAGCUGUACGUGUGCUGAACGCGGAGGUGCCGUCCGUUCGGCACUAGAUCGUGGGACUGAUCGCGGGAUUGUUCGCGGGGCGGAUCGAGGGACGUGAGGACGUUCCACUACAUCAACCGCGUUCACUAACGCUUCUGUUGUUCGAUCUACAAGGGUUCGUGGAUCACUCAUCCCCUCUCGUAGAUGGACAUCACCAUGAUAGGUCUUCGUGCGCGUAGGAAAAUUUUUGUUUCCCAUGCGGCGUUCCCCAUCAGUGGUAUCAGAGCUAGGUUCAUGCGUAGAUGUCUUCUCGAGUAGAACACAAAAGUUUUUGUGGGCGGUGAUGUGCGUUUUGCUACCCUCCUUAGUCUUUUCUUGAUUCUGCGGUAUUGUUGGAUUGAAGCGGCUUGGACCGACAUUACUCGUACGCUUACGAGAGACUGGUUUCAUCGCUACGAGUAACCCCGUUGCUCAAAGAUGACUGGCAAGUGUCAGUUUCUCCAACUUUAGUUGAAUCGGAUUUGACCGAGGAGGUCCUUGGAUGAGGUUAAAUAGCAACUCAUAUAUCUCUGUUGUGGUGUUUGCGUAAGUAAGAUGCGAUCCUACUAGAUACCCGUGGUCACCACGUAAAACAUGCAACAACAAAAUUAGAGGACGUCUAACUUGUUUUUGCAGGGUAUGCUUGUGAUGUGAUAUGGCCAACGAUGUGAUGUGAUAUAUUGGAUGUAUGAGAUGAUCAUGUUGUAAUAGAUAAUAUCGACUUGCACGUCGAUGGUACGGCAACCGGCAGGAGCCAUAGGGUUGUCUUUAUACUAAUGUUUGUGCUUGCAGAUGCGUUUACUAUUUUUCUAGGAUGUAGCUUUAGUAGUAAUAGCAUGAGUAGCACGACAACCUCGAUGGCAACACGUUGAUGGAGAUCAUGGCGUGGCGCCGGUGACAAGAAGAUCGUGCCGGUGCUUUGGUGAUGGAGAUCAAGAAGCACGUGAUGAUGGCCAUAUCAUGUCACUUAUGAAUUGCAUGUGAUGUUAAUCCUUUUAUGCACCUUAUUUUGCUUAGAAUGACGGUAGCAUUAUGAGGUGAUCUCUCACUAAAAUUUCAAGACGAAAUUGUGUUCUCCCCGACUGUGCAUCGUUGCUACAGUUCGUCGUUUCGAGACACCACGUGAUGAUCGGGUGUGAUAGACUCAACGUUCACAUACAACGGGUGCAAAACAGUUGCGCAUGCGGAACACUCGGGUUAAGCUUGACGAUCCUAGCAUGUGCAGACAUGGCCUCGGAACACAUGAGACCGAAAGGUCGAUCAUGAAUCAUAUAGAUGAUAUGAUUAGCAUAGGGAUGCUUACCACUGAAACUAUACUCAACUCACGUGAUGAUCGGACUUGAGCUAGUGUAAGUGGAUCAUGAACCACUCAAAUGACUAAGAGAGAUGUACUUUUUGAGUGGGAGUUUAGCGUAUAAUUUUGAUUAAAGUUAAACUCUAAUUAUCUUGAAUAUAGUCUAAGUCCACUUUGAAUAUAUUUGUGUUGUAGAUCAUGGCUCACGCUAUAGUCACCCUGAAUUUUAAUACGUUCCUAGAGAAAGCUAAGUUGAAAGAUGAUGGAAGCAACUUUGUAGACUGGGCUCGUAAUCUUAAGCUAAUCUUACAAGCUGGGAAGAAGGAUUAUGUCCUUAAUGCUGCGCUAGGAGAUGAACCACCCGCUACGGCUGAUCAGGAUGUUAAGAACGCUUGGUUAGCACGUAAGGAAGACUACUCAGUAGUUCAAUGUGCAGUCUUGUAUGGCUUAGAACCGGGACUUCAACGUCGCUUUGAGCGUCAUGGAGCAUUUGAGAUGUUCCAGGAGUUGAAGUUUAUCUUUCAGAAGAACGCCCGGAUCGAGAGGUAUGAGACCUCCGAUAAAUUCUAUGCUUGCAAGAUGGAGGAAAACUCGUCUGUCAGUGAACAUGUGCUCAAAAUGUCUGGGUACUCAAACCGUCUAGCUGAGCUGGGGAUUGAACUCCCGCAAGAGGCUAUCACUGACAGAAUCCUUCAAUCACUGCCGCCAAGCUAUAAAGGCUUUGUGUUGAACUACAACAUGCAAGGGAUGAACAAGUCUCCCGGCGAGUUGUUUGCGAUGCUGAAAGUCGCAGAGUCUGAACUCCGUAAAGAGCAUCAAGUGUUGAUGGUGAAUAAAACCACUAGUUUCAAGAGAAACGGCAAAGGCAAGAAGGGUAAUUCAAAGAAGAGCGGCAAGCCUGUUGCCAAUCCGACGAAGAAACCCAAAGCUAGACCUAAGCCUGAAACGGAGUGUUACUAUUGCAAGGGUAUGGGUCACUGGAAGCGCAAUUGCCCCAUGUAUCUGGCAGAUAAGAAGGCGGCCAAAGAAAAAUCAGGUAUAUUUGAUAUACAAGUUAUUGAUUUGUACUUAACCGGCUCUCGUAGUAGUGCCUGGGUAUUCGAUACCGGUUCUGUUGCUCAUAUUUGCAACUCGAAACAGGAACUGCGGAAUAGACGAAGGCUGGCGAAAGAUGAAGUGACGAUGCGCGUAGGAAAUGGUUCCAAGGUUGAUGCAAUCGCCGUCGGCAUAGUUUCACUUCAGUUACCAUCAGGAUUAGUGAUGAACUUAAAACAUUGUUAUUUAGUGCCUGCGUUGAGCAUGAACAUUAUAUCUGGAUCUUGUUUAUUGCGAGACGGUUACUCUUUUAAGUCAGAGAAUAAUGGUUGUUCUAUUUCUAUGAGAAACAUCUUUUAUGGUCAUGCACCCAAUGUGAGAGGAUUGUUCAUAUUGAAUCUUGAUAGCAAUACACACAUACAUAACAUUGAGACCAAAAGAGUUAGAGUUAACAAUGAUAGCGCCAUAUUUUUGUGGCACUGCCGCUUAGGUCAUAUUGGUGUAAAGCGCAUGAAGAAACUCCAUGCUGAUGGACUUUUGGAGUCACUUGACUUUGAUUCACUUGACACGUGCGAACCAUGCCUCAUGGGCAAGAUGACUAAGACUCCGUUCUCCGGAACAAUGGAGCGUGCAAGUGACUUGUUGGAAAUCAUACAUACCGAUGUGUGUGGUCCGAUGAGCGUGGAGGCAUGCGGCGGAUAUCGUUAUUUUCUCACCUUCACAGACGAUUUGAGUAGAUAUGGUUAUGUCUACUUGAUGAAGCACAAGUCUGAAACAUUUGAAAAGUUCAAGCAAUUUCAGAGUGAAGUUGAAAAUCAUCGUAACAAGAAGAUCAAAUUCCUACGGUCUGAUCGUGGGGGUGAAUAUCUGAGUUUCGAGUUUGGUGCUCACUUAAGACAAUGUGGAAUUGUUUCACAGUUAACACCGCCUGGAACACCACAGCGUAAUGGUGUGUCCGAACGUCGUAAUCGUACUUUAUUAGAGAUGGUGCGAUCUAUGAUGUCUCUUACCGAUUUGCCGUUAUCGUUUUGGGGUUAUGCAUUAGAAACAGCUGCAUUCACUUUAAAUAGGGCACCAUCAAAAUCCGUUGAGACGACACCAUACGAACUGUGGUAUGGCAAAAGGCCAAAGUUGUCGUUUCUUAAAGUUUGGGGAUGUGAUGCUUAUGUCAAAAAGCUUCAGCCUGAAAAGCUGGAACCCAAAGCGGAAAAGUGCGUCUUCAUAGGUUACCCAAAAGAGACAGUUGGGUACACCUUCUAUCUCAAAUCCGAGGGCAAAGUGUUUGUUGCUAAAAACGGAGCUUUUCUCGAGAAGGAGUUUCUCUCGAGAGAAUUGAGUGGGAGGAAGAUAGAACUUGACGAGGUUGUCGAACCUCUCAUCCCUCUGGAUGGUGGCGUGGGACAAGGGGAAACCUCUGUCGUUGCGACGCCGGAUGAGAAGGAAGUUAAUGAUGAUGAUCAUGAAACUCCGGUUCAAGUUUCUGUCGAACCACGCAGGUCGACGAGACCACGUGCUGCUCCAGAGUGGUACGGUAAUCCCGUCUUGUCAAUCAUGUUGUUGGACAACAAUGAACCUGCAAAUUAUGAAGAAGCAAUGGUGGGCCCGGAUUCCAACAAAUGAAGUCCGAGAUAGGAUCCAUGUAUGAGAACAAAGUGUGGACUUUGGAGGUACUGCCUGACUGCCGCAAGGCUAUUCAGAACAAAUGGAUCUUUAAGAGGAAGACGGACGCUGACGGCAAUGUGACCGUUUAUAAAGCUCGACUUGUGGCAAAGGGUUUUUCGCAAGUUCAAGGAGUUGACUACGAUGAGACAUUCUCACCCGUAGCGAUGCUUAAGUCCGUCAGAAUCAUGUUAGCAAUAGCUGCAUUUUUCGAUUAUGAAAUCUGGCAGAUGGAUGUCAAAACGGAGUUCCUUAACGGUUUCCUUAAGGAAGAAUUGUAUAUGAUGCAACCCGAAGGUUUUGUCGAUCCUAAGAAUGCUAACAAGGUGUGCAAGCUCCAGUGAUCAAGCAUCUCGGAGUUGGAACAAGCGCUUUGAUGAGGUGAUUAAAGCAUUUGGGUUUAUAGAAGUGGUUGGAGAAUCUUGUAUUUACAAGAAAGUAAGUGGGAGCUCUGUGGCGUUUCUAAUAUUAUAUGUGGAUGACAUAUUGCUGAUUGGAAACAACGUAGAGUUUUUGGAGAGCAUAAAGGAUUACUUGAAUAAAAGUUUCUCUAUGAAGGACCUAGGAGAAGCUGCUUACAUUCUAGGCAUUAAGAUCUAUAGGGAUAGAUCAAAACGCCUGAUAGGACUUUCACAAAGCACAUACCUUGAUAAAGUUUUGAAGAGGUUCAAAAUGGAACAGUCCAAGAAAGGGUUCUUGCCAGUUUUACAAGGUACAAGAUUGAGUAAGACUCAGUGCCCAGCAACUGAUGAAGAUAGAGAGCAUAUGCGCUCCGUCCCCUAUGCUUCAGCCAUAGGUUCUAUCAUGUAUGCAAUGUUGUGCACUAGACCAGAUGUUAGCCUGGCCAUAAGUAUGGCAGGUAGGUUCCGGAGUAAUCCAGGAGUGGAUCACUGGACAGCGGUCAAGAAUAUCCUGAAGUACCUGAAAAGGACUAAGGAGAUGUUUCUCGUGUAUGGAGGUGACGAAGAGCUCGCCGUAAAAGGUUACGUCGAUGCAAGCUUUGACACAGAUCCGGACGACUCUAAGUCGCAAACCGGAUACGUAUUUAUUCUUAAUGGGGGUGCGGUAAGCUGGUGCAGUUCCAAGCAAAGCGUCGUAGCAGAUUCUACAUGUGAAGCGGAGUACAUGGCUGCCUCGGAGGCGGCUAAGGAGGGUGUCUGGAUGAAGCAGUUCAUGACGGAUCUUGGAGUGGUGCCAAGCGCACUGAAUCCAAUAACCUUGUUCUGUGACAACACGGGUGCCAUUGCCUUAGCAAAGGAACCACGGUUUCACAAGAAGACCAGACACAUCAAACGACGCUUCAACCUCAUCCGCGACUACGUCGAGGGAGAGGACGUAAAUAUAUGCAAAGUGCACACGGAUCUGAAUGUAGCAGACCCGCUGACUAAACCUCUUCCACGGCCAAAGCAUGAUCAACACCAGAACUGUAUGGGUGUUAGAUUUAUUACAAUGUAAUUCGCAUGAUGAUGUGAGGGCUAGAUUAUUGACUCUAGUGCAAGUGGGAGACUGUUGGAAUUAUGCCCUAGAGGCAAUAAUAAAUAUAGUUAUUAUUAUAAUUCCUGUAUCAAGAUAAUCGUUUAUUAUCCAUGCUAUAAUUGUAUUUAAUGAAGACUCAUUUAUAUGUGAGGAUACAUAGACAAAACACCGUCCCUAGCAAGCCUCUAGUUGGCUAGCCAGUUGAUCAAAGAUAGUUAGUGUCUUCUGAUUAUGAACAAGGUGUUGUUGCUUGAUAACUGGAUCACGUCAUUAGGAGAAUCACGUGAUGGACUAGACCCAAACUAAUAGACGUAGCAUGUUGAUCGUGUCAUUUUGUUGCUACUAUUUUGUGCGUGUCUAGUAUUUAUUCCUAUGACCAUGAGGUCAUAUAACUCACUGACACCGGAGGAAUGCUUUGUGUGUAUCAAACGUCGCAACGUAACUGGGUGACUAUAAAGAUGCUCUACAGGUAUCUCAGAAGGUGUUAGUUGAGUUAGUAUGGAGCAAGACUGGGAUUUGUCACUCCGUGUGACGGAGAGGUAUCUCGGGGCCCACUCGGUAAUACAACAUCACACACAAGCCUUGCAAGCAAUGUAGCUUAGUGUAAGUUACGGGAUCUUGUAUUACAGAACGAGUAAAGAGACUUGCCGGUAAACGAGAUUGAAAUAGGUAUGCGGAUACUAACGAUUGAAUCUCGGGCAAGUAACAUACCGAAGGACAAAGGGAAUGACAUACGGGAUUAUAUGAAUCCUUGGCACUGAGGUUCAAACGAUAAGAUCUUCGUAGAAUAUGUAGGAUCCAAUAUGGGCAUCCAGGUCCCACUAUUGGAUAUUGACCGAGGAGUCUCUCGGGUCAUGUCUACAUAGUUCUCGAACCUGCAGGGUCUGCACACUUAAGGUUCGACGUUGUUUUAUGCGUAUUUGAGUUAUAUGGUUGGUUACCGAAUGUUGUUCGGAGUCCCGGAUAAGAUCACGGACGUCACGAGGCUUUCCGGAAUGGUCCGGAAACGAAGAUUGAUAUAUAGGAUGACCUCAUUUGAUUACCGGAAGGUUUUCGGAGUUACCGGGAAUGUACCGGGAAUGACGAAUGGGUUCCGGGAGUUCACCGGGGGGGGCAACCCACCCCGGGGAAGCCCAUAGGACUUGAGGGUGGCGCACCAGCCCUUAGUGGGCUGGUGGGACAGCCCAAAAGGGCCCUAUGCGCCUAGGAAAGAAAAUCAAAGAGAAAAAAAAGAGGAGGUGAGAAGGGAAGGAAGGACUCCCACCCACCAAACCAAGUCCAACUCGGUUUGGGGGGGGAGCCUUCCCCCCUUGGCUCGGCCGACCCCCUUGGGGCUCCUUGAGCCCCAAGGCAAGGUCCCCUCCCUCCCACCUAUAUAUACGGAGGUUUUAGGGCUGAUUUGAGACGACUUUUCCACGGCAGCCCGACCACAUACCUCCACGGUUUUUCCUCUAGAUCGCGUUUCUGCGGAGCUCGGGCGAAGCCCUGCCGAGACAAGGACAUCACCAACCUCCGGAGCGCCGGCACGCUGCCGGAGAACCCUUCUACCUCUCCGUCUCUCUUGCUGGAUCAAGAAGGCCGAGAUCAUCGUCGAGUUGUACGUGUGCUGAACGCGGAGGUGCCGUCCAUUCGGCACUAGAUCGUGGGACUGAUCGCGGGAUUGUUCGCGGGGCGGAUCGAGGGACGUGAGGAGGUUCCACUACAUCAACCGCGUUCACUAACGCUUCUGCUGUUCGAUCUACAAGAGUACGUAGAUCACUCAUCCCCUCUCGUAGAUGGACAUCACCAUGAUAGGUCUUCGUGCGCGUAGGAAAAUUUUUGUUUCCCAUGCGACGUUCCCCAUCAGGAGGCCCACACGGGGCCCACAAGCCCUAUAGCCGCGGCCAGGGGGCCCGUGGCUACUAAUCUUGUGCCCCCCUGGAGCUCCCCUACCCUAGCUCUUUCGCCUAUAUAUUCCCUAAAAUCCCAGAAAAAAUAAGGGCGUCCAUGAAACCACUUUUGUGCCGCCGCAAGCUUCCCUUUCCGCGAGAUCUCAUCUGGAGACCCUUCCCAGUGCCCUGCCGGAGGGGACUUUGGAGCUGGAGGGCUUCUACAUCAACAUCAUUGCCUCUCCAAUGACUCGUGAGUAGUCUACUUCAGACCUACGGGUCCGUAGUUAGUAGCUAGAUGGCUUCUUCUCUCUCUUGGAUCUUCAAUAGAAAGUUCUCCAUGAUCUUCAUGGAGAUCUAUCCGAUGUAAUCCUCUUUGGCAGUGUGUUUGUCGAGAUCCGAUGAAUUGUGGAUUUGUGAUCAGAUUAUCUAUGAAUUAUAUUUGAGUCUUUGCUCAUUUCUUAUAUGCAUGAUUUGAUAUCCUUGUAAGUCUCUGUGAGUCUUGGGUUUUGUUUGGACAAUUAGAUCUAUGAUUCUUGCAAUGGGAGAAGUGCUUGGUUUUGGGUUCAUACCGUGCGGUGACCUUUCCCAGUGAUAGAAGGGGCGGCAAGGCACGCAUCAUGUUGUUGCCAUCAAGGGUAACAAGAUGGGCUUUCAUCAUAGAUUUGAGAUUGUUCAUCUACAUCAUGUCAUCUUGCUUAAGGUGUUACUCUGUUCUUAUGAACUCAAUACACUAGAUACAUGCUGGAUAGCGGUCGACGUGUGGAGUAAUAGUAGUAGAUGCGGAAAGUAUCGGUCUACUUGUUUUGGACGUGAUGCCUAUAUGUAUGAUCAUUGCCAUUGAUAACGUCAUGUCUUUGCGCGGUUCUAUUAAUUUCUCGACAGUAAUUCGUUCACCCACCGUCUACUUGCUUUCAUGAGAGAAGCCACUAGUGAACACUACGGCCCCCGGGUCUACUCACAAUUAUCAUCUCCGCUUUUACUUUUACUUUGCUUUAUUUACUUUUUGCUUUCAGUUCUCACUUUGCAAACAAUCUACAAGGGACUGACAACCCCUUCAUAGCGUUGGGUGCAAGCUCUUUGUGUUUGUGCAGGUACUUGGGACUUGACGCACUCCUCCUGCCAGAUUGAUACCUUGGUUCUCGAACUGAGGGAAAUACUUACCGCCGCUGUGCUACAUCACCCUUUCCUCUUCAAGGGAACACCAACGCAAGGUUCCAAGGCCACGGGGGGAUCCUUUGCAUACUUGCCAAGGAAAUCCCUAUAGCCGUAGCCAGCAGCAGAAGGAUUUCUGGCGCCGUUGCCUGGGAGAGAUCAAGUCAAGAUCUCUCCAAGUAAGUGUCACAAACUCAUCUCUUGCAUUUACCUUUUUUGCCAAUUGCCUCUCGUUUUCCUCUCCCCCACUUCACAUUUGCCGUUUUCAUUUGCCUUUCUCCUUUGUCGUUUUCUUUUGCCUAUUUGCCGUUCUCUUUUGCCCAUUUCACUCGCUUACUUCCUGCUCAUUUGUGUCUGGGAUAGUCCAUCAAUGGCUAGACCCACCAUUCCAAACGAUACCCCUGAGAAUUAAGUUCUCUAUUUCAAGCAGAAUGAGGAAGAAAAUUUAAAGGACGCUUGGUACAGGAUUUGCAAUGCUGAAAGUAGAUCUACUCGUAAGCAAUCAACUACCGUUCUUCUUUGCCGUUUUUAUGUUGGCAUCUCUCCUUGGAAUAGGUAUAUUCUUGAUACCAUCAUAGGCGGGAAUUUUUUGGGGAGCCAUACUGUUGACUCCUAUGGAGCUAUCAUGAAUUUGGUAGGCUCACCCCCGCUCAUGGUUAAUGGAACUACCUUGACCUUGGAACACGUGAUGCAAAGGCUUGACGCCAUUGAAAACAAAAUUGCCACAAUUGAACUUAUUGAGGAUUUGGAUAGAAAGAUCCACAAUCAAAUUACUCAGUACGGAUCCAAAGUGGGAAUGGUUUUGAAAAAUUUAAGGGAGAAGGAACCUAUAGUUAAUGAUUCCUCUAGAAUUGGCAAACUAGAAGAUGUCAUAACCAACUUGGGUUCCGCUUUUGCCGCUGUGCAAAAUACUCCAAGUCUCACUCUCAAAAAGACCGUCAAGUUUGUUUUUGUUCCUAAAGCUAGUGGUGAGUCAUCCAAUAAACAUGAAGAUCUUAAGAUGAUAAAUGAUCACACUACUUAUGGUUUGAGCACCAAAGAUGACUAUACGUAAUUCCAUCACCUUAUGCCUAGCGCUUGUUGGGAGGCAACCCAAUGAAUCUAUCCUUUUUCUUUCUGUUUUGUGUUUUACACACUUUCAUAAUUCUGUUAUGAUUCUGUUUUUGUGUUUCUUUUGCGUUUGUGCCAAGUGAAACUGCUAUGAUUAGUCUUGGGGAUGAUCGUUUGAUCAUGCUGGAAAAGACAGAAACUUUCUUCUCACGAAAAGAAUUUUCAUUUUUUUCUGUCAGAGAUUCGAAGCUGAUUCUUUUUGCUGCUGAUUUCUACGCAAAUUAUUCAGACUGUCGUAAUUUUUCAGAAUUUGUGAAGUACCAUAAGAAUACGAAGUAUACAGAUUGCUACAGACUGGUGUGCUGUUAACAGAUUCUGUUUUUGUUGAGUUGGUUGCUUAUUUUGAUGAAACUAUGGAUAGUAUCGGGUGGUAUUAGCCAUGGAAGAUUGAAAAUACAGUAAACCAACAUCAACAUAAGUAGAAUUUAAGUUUGCUACAGUACUUAAGGAAGUGGUGAUUUGCUUUCUUGUACUAAUGAUAUCACGAGCUUCUAUUUAAGUUUCGUGUUGUGAAGUUUUCAAGUUUUGGGUGAAGUUCUUAUGGACAAAGAGAUAAAGAGUGGCAAGAGCUCAAGCUUGGGUAUGCCCAAGGCACCCCAAGUUGAUUCAAGGAUGCUGAAAAAGCCUAAGCUUGGGGAUGCCCCGGGAAGGCAUCCCCUCUUUCGUCUUCAAUCCAUCGGUAACGUUACUUGGGGCUAUAUUUUUAUUCACCACAUGUUAUGUGUUUUGCUUGGAGCGUCUUAUAUUGUAGGAGUCUUUUAUUUUUGUUCUGUCACAAUCUUCCUUGCUGCACACCUAUAGAGAGAUACAUGCACUCACCGUGAUUUUCUCGAGCUUCACUUAUAUCCUUUGGUUAGGCAAUUCAGCUCACAUGUGUUUCACUUAUAUCUUUUGAGCUAGUUGAUUUUGCUCUAUGUGUUUCACUUCUAUCUUUUAGAGCACGGAAGUGCGUGGCGUGGUAGUUGAUCUAUGCUAUGAAAGUAGUCUCAAAAGGGGUAGUUAUCCAAAGGGAUAUGAAAACUUCCACCUUCAUGUGCAUUGAGUAGUUAGAGAAGUUUGAUUCAUCUCAAUUAGUCUUGAGUUGUGGUUGUGGUAAUAUUGAAGUUAUACUAGUAAGGUGUUGUGGAUCUAGAAAUACUUGUGUUGAAUUUAGUGAUUCCCGUAGCAUGCACAUAUGGUGAACCACUAUGUGAUGAAGUCUGAGCAUGAUUAGUUUAUUCACUGUCAUCCUUUGUGUAGCGGUUGGGAUCGCGCGAUGCUUUAUACCUACCAACCCUUCCCCUAGGAGUAUGCGUUGAAUACUUUGUUUCGAUUACUACUAAAACUUUUGCAAAAAGUAUAUGAGUUUUUCAUGACUAAUGUUGAGUCCAUGGUUUAGAUGCACUUUCACCUUCCACCAUCACUAUCUUCUUUAUUGUCGUGCAACUUUCGCCGGUGCAUAAAACCCACCAUAUAGCCUCCCUCAAAACAGCCACCAUACCUACCUACUAUGGCAUUUUCAAAGCCAUUCCGAGAUAUAUUGACAUGCAACUACCACCAUGACAUGUGCCACCACUUCUACAUUGCCAUUGCAUGAUCAUAAGAUAGCUAGCAUGAUGUUUCCAUUGAUGUCUAUGCCAUGCUAGAUCAUUGUCACGGUACACUACCGAAGGCAUUUCAUAUAGAGUCAUCAUUGCUCUAAGUUUUGAGUUGUAAGUGUGAUGACCAUCAUUAAUGGAGCAUUGUCCCAUGUGAGGAAAUAAAAGAGGCCAGCGAAGCCCAUUUAAAAAAACAGGCCCAAGAUGCCCACAAAAAAAAGAGGCCAAAGAGCCCACCAAAAAAAUGAGAGAAAAAGAGAGAAGGGACAAUGCUACUAUCUUUCCACACGUGUGCUUAUUAAGCACCAUGAUCUUCAUGAUUGAGAGUCUCUCGUUUUGUCACCACCAUAUAGCUAGGGAAAAAUUUCAUUAUAUAACUUGGCUUGUAUAUUCCAAUGAUGGGCUUUCUCAAAAUUGCCUUAGGUCUUCGUGAGCAAGCAAGUUGGAUGCACACCCACCAGUUUUCUUUAAGAGCUUUCACAUACUCUUAGCUCUAGUGCAUCAUUUGUAUGGCAAUCUCUACUCAUUCACAUUCAUAUCUAUUGAUGAGCAUCUCCAUAGCUCAUUGAUAUGCCUAGUCAAUGUGACCAUCUUCUCCUUGUUUUCCUUGCAACCUCCACCACACUCCACUCCACUUAUAGUGCUAAAACCAUGUCUCACACUCAUGUAUUGCGUGAGAGUUGAAAAAGUUUGAGAAAGUAAAGGUGUGAAAACAAUUACUUGGCCAAUACCGAGGUUGUGCAUGAUUUAAAUUCGUUGUGCAAGGAUGAUAGAGCAUAGCCAGACUAUAUGAUUUUGUAGGGAUAACUUUCUUUUGGCCUUGUUAUUUUGAAAGUUCAUGGUUACCUUGCUAGUUUGCUUGAAGUAUUAUUGUCUCCACGUCAAUAGCAAACUAUUGUUUUGAAUCUAACGGAUCUGAACAUUCAUGUCACAUAAGAGGAGUUACAAAGGACAUCUAUGCUAGGUAGCAUGAAAGAAUCAAAAAUUCAUUCUUUAUCACUUCCCUACUCGAGGACGAGCAGGAGUUAAGCUUGGGGAUGCUUGAUACGUCUCAAAUGUAUCUAUAAUUUUUGAUGGUUUCAUGCUGUUAUCUUGUCAACUUUGGAUGUUUUAUAUACCUUUUAUAUCUUUUAUGGGACUAACUUAUUAAUUCAGUGCCAAGUGCCAGUUCUUGUUUAUUUUUUGACUCUUUUCAGAUUUGAUUUUGGAACGGAGUCCAAACGGAAUAAAAUCCCCGAAAUGAAUUUUUCCAGAACAAAAGAAGAUCGGGGGACUUGAGGGCCAAGGUAGGAGGCCCACAGGGGGCCCACAAGCCGUGUAGCCUCGGCCAAGGGGGCUGCGGCUACCAAGCUUGUGGCCCCCCUGGAGCUCCCCUGCCCUAGCUCUUUCGCCUAUAUAUUCCCUAAAAUUCCAGAAAAAAUAAGGGCGUCCACGAAACCACUUUUCCGCCGCCGCAAGCUUCCGUUUCCGCAAGAUCUCAUCUAGAGACCCUUCCCGGUGCCCUGCCGGAGGGGACUUUGGAGCUGGAGGGCUUCUACAUCAACAUUAUUGCCUCUCCAAUACCUCGUGAGUAGUCUACUUCAGACCUACGGGUCCGUAGUUAGUAGCUAGAUGGCGUCUUCUCUCUCUUGGAUCUUCAAUACAAAGUUCUCCCUCGAUCUUCAUUGAGAUCUAUCCGAUGUAAUCCUCUUUGGUGGUGUGUUUGUCGAGAUCCUCUCCNNNNNNNNNNNNNNNNNNNNNNNNNNNNNNNNNNNNNNNNNNNNNNNNNNNNNNNNNNNNNNNNNNNNNNNNNNNNNNNNNNNNNNNNNNNNNNNNNNNNUCAAAUCAGCCCUAAAACCUCCGUAUAUAUAGGUGGGAGGGAGGGGAGGAGGCAGCCUCAAAACCUAAAGGUUUGGCCGAAAUUGGAGGUGGAGGAGUCCUACUCCAAUCCUACUUGGAGUAGGAUUCCACCUUCCAAAGGGGAGGUGGGAAGGGAAGGAAGGACUCCCACCCACCAAACCAAGUCCAACUCGGUUUGGGGGGGGGGGCCUUCCCCCUUGGACUCGAUCCUACUCCAAGUAGGAUUGGAGUAGGACUCCUCCACCUCCAAUUUCGGCCAAACCUUUAGGUUUUGAGGCUGCCUCCUCCCCUCCCUCCCACCUAUAUAUACGGAGGUUUUAGGGCUGAUUUGAGACGACUUUUCCACGGCAGCCCGACCACAUACCUCCAUUGGUUUUUCUCUAGGUCGCGUUUCUGCAGAGCUCGGGCGGAGCCCUGCUGAGACAAGGUCAUCACCAACCUCCGGAGCGCCGUCACGCUGCCGUAGAACUCUUCUACCUCUCCGUCUCUCUUGCUGGAUCAAUAAGACCGAGAUCAUCGUCGAGCUGUACGUGUGCUGAACGCGGAGGUGCCGUCCGUUCGGUACUAGAUCGUGGGACUGAUCGCGGGAUUGUUCGCGGGGCGGAUCGAGGGACGUGAGGACGUUCCACUACAUCAACCGCGUUCACUAACGCUUCUGCUGUACGAUCUACAAGGGUACGUAGAUCACUCAUCCCCUCUCGUAGAUGGACAUCACCAUGAUAGGUCUUCGUGCGCGUAGGAAAUUUUUUGUUUCCCUUGCGACGUUCCCCAUCAGGAGGCCCACACGAUGCGACGUUCCCCAACAGCUAGGUACAUAAGUGAACCGAUAAUUUGAGAGAAUCUUAAUUGAUCUAUAGUUGUGCCUUUAAACUUUCGAAUAAGCACACUAGGAUCAUAUGGUGUUUGACAAAUUUUGAAGUCUGAAUAUCCAAAGUGACUCAAAAUCUUAUCAACAUAGUGGGAUUGCAGAAGUGUAAUCCCACCCUCAUCAUCUCUCAACAGCUUGAUGUUCAAGAUAACAUCAGCCACCCCAAGGUCCUUCAUCUCAAAGUUUUGAGAUAGAAAAGACUUAACCUCCUCAAUUACUUUGAGGUUGGUUCCAAAUAUCAGUAUGUCAUCAAUAUACAAGCACAAUAUAACUCCUUCGCCCCCACCAUGGCGAUAGUAUACACAUUUGUCAGCUUCAUUAACAACGAAGCCAACAGAUGUCAAAGUUGUAUUAAACUUCUCAUGCCAUUGCUUAGGUGCUUGUCUCAGACCAUAUAAAGAUUUCAGCAACUUACACACCUUUCCUUCCUGACCUUCUAUCACAAAGCCAUCUGGCUGUUGCAUAUAGAUUUUCUCAUUUAACUCCCAUUCAGGAAAGCCGUCUUAACAUCCAUUUGAUGAACGAGAAGACCAUGAGAGGCCGCCAAUGAGAGUAGUACUCGAAUGGUGGUCAGUCUAGCCACAGGUGAAUAAGUAUCGAAGAAAUCUUCUUCCUCUUUCUGGGCAUAGCCCUUGGCCACAAGCCUAGCCUUGUACUUUUCAAUCGUACCAUCGGGCCUAAGCUUAUUUUUGAACACCCACUUGCAUCCCAAUGGUUUGCAACCAUAGGGACGAUCAGUGAUUUCCCAUGUCCCGUUAGCCAUGAUGGAAUCCAUCUUGCUACGAACCGCAACUUUCCAGUAAUCAGCAUCUGGAGAAGCAUACGCUUCUGAAAUAGAAGAGGGAUUAUCAUCCACGAGGUAUACGAAGAAAUCAUCACCAAAGGUCUUUGCAGUCGUUUGUCUCUUGCCCCUACCACGGGCUUCCUCGUCAUCCUCCUCAGGAUUUUCAUCAUGUGUUUGUUCAUAUUAUUCCAUAGGAAUGGCAGGCUCAGGAGUUAUCUCAGAUUCCUGUCUAGAAGUGCUUUGCAUAUCUCUCAUGGGAAAUAUAUCCUCAAAGAAUGUAGCAUCCCUCGACUCCAUUAUUGUACCGACCUUCACGUCAGGUACCUCAGAUUUCACUACUAGAAAUCUAUAGCCUACGCUAUUCUUAGCGUAUCCCAAAUUAACGCAAUCCACAGUCUUUGGUCCAAGCUUACGCUUCUUGGGGAUCGGUAAAUUGACUUUCGCCAAGCAGCCCCAAGUACGUAAGUACGAGAGCGUCCAGCCCCAAGUACGUAAGAACGAGAGCGACGUCCUUCUCUUCGACCACUCCUCGUAGGGAGUGACCUCAUUAUCUUUUGUAGGAACUUUAUUCAGGACAUGACACGCGGUCAAUAUAGCCUCCCCCCACCAUGCCUUGGAUAAACCCGAUGUAUCUAACAUGGCGUUAACCAAAUCAGUUAGAGUACGGUUUUUCCGCUCGGCAACCCCGUUUGACUGGGUGAAUAGGGAGGCGUCCUCUCAUGAAUAAUGCCGUGUUCCGCACAAAAUGAAUCAAAUUCCUUUGAGAAGUACUCUCCACCACGAUCAGACCGGACUCGUUUAAUUUUCUUUUCAAGUUGAUUCUCAACUUCUACCUUAUAGAUUUUAAAAUAGUGUAGAGCCUCAUCUUUAGUAUUUAACACAUACACAUACAAAAUCUAGUGGAAUCAUCUAUCAAUGUCAUGAAGUAUUUCUUUCCACCUUUAGUCAACACACCAUUCAUCUCACAAAGAUCAGAAUGUAUGAGUUCUAAUGGUGCCAAGUGUCUCUCCUCUGCAGCCUUGUGAGGCUUGCGAGGUUGCUUUGCUUGCACACACGAAUGGCACUUAGAACCUUUGGCUAAAGUGAAAGUUAGGAUUAAAUUCAGUUUUGCUAGCCGCGACAUAACACCGAAACUUAUGUGACAAAGACGUGAAUGCCAAACUUCAGAUUCAUUAACACUCGAAUGAAUAUUGUUCACGACUUUAUUACAAAAAUCUGUAAGAGAAAGGCGGAACAGACCUCUGCAUUCAUAACCUUUUCCAACGAAAAGUCCAUAUUUCGUAACUACUACUUUAUUAGACUCGAAUACCAACUUAAACCCUUCUCUACACAGAAGGGAGCCACUAACGAGAUUCUUCUUGAUGGCGGGGACAUGCUGCACGUUCUUCAGCUGCACGAUCCUUCCCGAAGUAAACUUCAGAUCGACCGUGCCAACACCAAGAACAGAAGCACUCGCGCCAUUCCCCAUCAAUACGGACCCGCGACCGGUGGCCUGAUAAGAAGAGAACAAUGAUAAGUCAGCACACACAUGAAUAUUUGCACCCGUGUCCACCCACCAAUCGAUGGACUGACAAACUGUAAAUACAGUAAGUAAAUUACCGUACCCAGAUGCACCACUUUCAUUGUUGCCCACAAUCAUAUUGGCAGACUUGGAGUCCUGCGCCGGCUUCUUGUACUUGUUUGGGCAUUUGUUCGCCCAAUGUUCCUCUGAACCACAAGUAUAGCAGCCAUCUCCCUUCUUAUUCUUCUUGAAGGGCUUCUUUCCCUUCUUCUUGAAGUCGGUAUUCUGCUGGACAGAAUUCUUUCCCUUGGGCUUGUGAGAAUUGAAGUUCCUCUGAUGUACCAUAUUGGCAGCAGAAGAGCUUUCCACCACUUUUCCAUUGGAGUCCUUUGCUCUCGAGUUCUGCUCAACACUCAGAUGGCCGAUGAUGUCCUCUACUGAGAACUCACGCCUCUGGUGUUUCAGAGUAGUAGCAAAGUUCCUCCAGGAAUUAGGGAGCUUAGCAAUUAUACAACCCGCGACAAACUUGCCCGGCAAAUUGCACUUAAGAACCUCAAGUUCCUUAGCUAUGCAUAUUAUCUCAUGAGCUUGUUCCAAUACAGAACGGUUGUCAACCAUCUUGUAAUCGUUGAACUGCUCCAUAACAUACAUCUCACUCCCAGCAUCGGUGGCCCCGAAUUUAGAUUCGAGCGCCUCCCACAAGUCCUUGGCAACAAGCAUAUGUAAAUAUGCAUCAACCAGCUUAUCUCCGAUCACGCUAAUGACUGCUCCAAGGAAUAGGACGGUGGCCUCCUUAAACAUCUUCUCCUGUUCAGGAGUGACAGUUUCCGUAGGAGUGACACCGGCUACCCAGAACACGUUCAUAGCUGUGAGCCAUAAGGUGGUUCUUGUUUGCCAACGCUUGAAAAAAGUACCGGUAAACUUAUCCAGUUUCAGUGCAGCAGCAAAACCAUUACUCGAAAAAUUCCUACAGACAUUAGGUUUUUGGAUUGUUGAGUAAAUAGGCAAUUUUCCGAGUGUAUUAAUCCACGAGAUAAUAACUAGCAUGGCAUUGACUAGACUAAUGAUAUACUGAUCUUGAGCUAACCUAGCACAUACUACGCAUAUAGUGGAUACAUCUAUGCAGACAAGUAGUACUGCUAGGAUAAAUACGAACAUGAGGAUAAACGAGUCAUACCCUCCAAUCGGCCAGUUGGCCGUAGCAGCAGCGGCGGCGGCGGCAGUAUCCUCUGCCGCCUUCUUCUCGGCUUCGGCCUUCUCGUGGAGACGGUCAGCUUCGCUUGGUGAAGACAUGGCGAUGACGAGGGCGACGCGGACGUAGAGGAAGCAGACGGACGGAGGCGAGCAGUCGCGUGAUCGCUCCCCAAAAACCUAAUCGCCCCUCUCCCGUACAGGAACCGGAGAGGCGAGGUUUCGGAGGCCUGCUCUCCCGUCGACCGUGUACGCGGUAAACGGGACGGAGUCGCCGGCGGCAGCAGCAGUUCAAGAAACGAACGCGUGAGGCAGAUGUGAUCUGAUUCUCGUGACGGCUAGGGUAGGCGAUAGCCUGCUUAUAAAGGCGGCUGGGUGGAGAGACGUGGGCCGAACCCACGUCCGAGUCGGUAACAGCCCACGAUCCGACGUCUCGGAUCGUGCCGUGUCCGUUAAGUAUUCUCCGUUCCUGACCGGCAAAAAUAAGCGCGUAAGUAUGAGCUCGGCACAUUCCCGCAACCCGCGUCGGGGCGAGGCGUGGCGGGCGGCGGAGGAGGAGUGCGCAAGGGCACCUUCUCUUCUCACUCUCCAAUAGCAUGUGGAAGAGAGACCCUUAUAAAGGGGUCCAACUUCUCCUCCACUAGCGGGGUGGGACUAAACUUCCCACCACCCUGUCAUGCCACCACCUAAUUGGGCCCUUCGAGAUUUUUCUGAAAUUCUCUAAUGGGCCUAAAGCCCACUACCAAUUUCAACAUAAAAGACCAAAAAGGCUUCCCCUAAUUUCUAGGGAACGUCCAAUUCAAUACACAAUGAUGAUUUAAAUUUUCACACUGUCAAAGCUACCAUUGAAUGCAUAGCAUGGAGAGGAACAGUGGACAUUCUAUGUCGAAAAGUCUGCACCGAAUCUCUUUGCUUCGCAAUCCACAUCAAACAUUUAAGCUCAAGUGAAGUUUCAUUGGAGAUUGCAGAUCCUCAUUAACUAUUUGACUUCCCGUUCUAGUUUAGCCUAGAUCUAGACCAAAUGACUGCUGUUUGUCAAAUAGUCAUCCACAGCGCAAAUUCACAACACCGAAUAUAUGCCAAAAAUUCAACUCUUGUCAUCAGCCUCACAAAAUAACUUCUGUGGAUGCAGGAAGUUUGAAAAUUUCAAAGAACAAUUGAAUUACGUGAGCAUCAAAAAAGGAUUGACGCAUUCUAUUGGAAAAAUUCCUGCAAUUCAUACCAUCUACUCGAUUACCCUUUUGGGACGAAGAAAAAAUUGUUACCUGUUUAUGUGAAGUCCUGUUUGUGCAAAUUGAUGACACCAAGUUUAUGCCCAAAAAUUCAACUCCUGGCAUCAGCCUGGCGAAAAUAACUUAUGUGAAGGCAGGAGCUUUUAACUUCAGAGAACAAUUCAAUUCCGCGGGAAUCAGGAAAGAUUCUCCCGUUCCAUUGGAAGGAUUCAGGCAACUCAUACCAUCUACUCCUUUUUUUGGUGGGCACGCAAAAUAAUUUAUUACCCAGUUCUAGAAAAUGAAGAAUGUUCAAUUGGAAGCUCUUGAGCAGUGUCCCAACUAUUUUUGUUGAUCGGUAACUUGAUGACUGAAGGAAUGGUCCGGACCACUGCAUAAUUGACAUUGUUGCAGUGUCGAAAUCUAGCGAAUGAGUCAUCAGUCAUCACCAUGUAAUAACAGACAUUCUUCAAUAGUGCUUGCAUUAACUCUGUUCAACUCUUCAUCAAGUGCACGCUCAGCUACAAAGAAUGAAAGACCACAAACCACUAGAUCCAACCUGUCACUGAUAAUGUUGUAAGUUCAUCGAACUCUGACAGUGGGUAGAUUGCAAGGUGAGGUACAUUAUGGUAACGGUAUAAUUUAUGUAGUAAUAAAAUCUGACGAAACGAACAACACGGUUCAUUUGUUCGGGCAAAUGCAUGGAGGCAGUCAAAAUUUCUAAGAUAACCCUGAAUGAGGGGCAUGAAUUCUCGUGGGGGUGAAUUGUGCUGUGACUAAAUAACCCUGAAUCAUGGGCAUGAAUUCUCCUGGGGGUGGAUGAAAAUGUGAUUAACAUGCAGUCGGCUUAAGUAAUUAAGCAUCGUUAGUUCAAGUUGAUAACUAGAUCAUGUGACUCGAUGCGUUGAUUUUCUUGACCAAAUCAUAUAAUCUCUGCAAAGACACUUUUUGAUAUUAGGACCGGAUCGUAGUAAUCUGUCUGGGGCAGAAUGGUCAAUCCAGCCAUACGGUGACCUAGAAGUCACUAUAUCAAAUAUAAUCUUGUGCCGGGAGUCAAAAUUUGACAACGCAAAGGUCUUAUAGUAGUACAAAAUAUUCAACCCCUUUCCAUUUGCCUAGUCAAAAGUAGAACUAUUGGGUAGUUAUCUGCAUUUGCUGCCCCUGAAUACUUAGCUAUCAUCUUCCAAAAAAAUAGGGCCCCUCGUGUUGGUCUCUUUGCUUCCAGCGAUCGACGGCGGCUAAGAGAUCACAAGAAACAAGGAACAUAACAUGCAUGCAUUACACGACCGACAGUGACGCAAAUUUAUGUAGCGUGAGCAGACCUGAAAACGGUCACAUGGUUAUCUCACAUCUCCCUUGGCUACCCUGUUUCAGGAUACUAUUCAUGGAAAGAUAUUGCCGGCCAACCUGAAAGGAACAUUUCUGUCACUGGACCUCGAGGGUGAUGGUUGGAAUGGAUCUUGGCUGCUUGACCUUGUAGAUCAUACCGAAUUUGAGCUGGGUUGUAGAGCAUGCUUCCUGGAUAUUCUCUCUGUCCAGGACUCGGUACAACUGUCAGUAACAAUGCUCAUGAUGUUGUUAUUAUCUUGUAGCAGUUGCUCUUCUGACCUAAUAGUAUCCAUUAGCUAGCAGCAGAACAGCAUUUCUGGCUGCAAGCAAAAGAGAGAACAACAUUUGUAAUAAGUCAGGGAUCAUCACAUGUACGCAUGUUGCCUCAUUUGACAGUAUGAGCAGCACUACUAUACUGCAUUUGUGAGGGGUGUCUCCAAUCUCUUAAAUGAUGUUGCUAAGAACUACAGUCUUCAAUGAAUUAUUAGGCGCAAAAGUACAUUUUCUUCUGUUGAUGUUGAGUCUUUCGGCCCUGGUUUUAGCUCCCUUUUUCCUAUAAGUUGGUUGGACUGAAAGGGGCUAACGGUUGACGCGCUGUACAUUUUAUGGACGAAAUACAGGGAACUGCUAUACUGAAAGGAGUGAGCAAUUCAACUUCUACUGAUGUAUCUGUAUGGUCCAGAGAGGAGAUAAUAUGCCCAUCUUUUUGACGAAAUAGGUUACACAGAAUUCCACAAGCAUCAGAAUACUUGAAGUAAAAUAAAAUCCGACACCGUAUCAGAAGUAGUAACCAGAUAUCUAACACAUUCGCGAUUUUGCUGCGCGGUAGUCGUCUGAAUAGUAAUAGGAUGGGACAUAAUUUUCUUAUAAGUUCUGUUCACCAAUCAGAAUCUGUGAAGAAACGAGUGAUAAAUUUCAAAGCUCACCAAACAUCAUCUGCGGCCAGGAUAAUAACCAACGUGCUUAAAACAAACUUGUCGCCUUGGAUGAUCACAUGAUCUUUCCUUGUUUGGGUUUCAUUCUGAAAUCUAGCAUGACAAUUCCAGAGCGUCGAUAUCACAUCCCAGAAAAUAGAUGACACUUGCCUCUGGUCAGUGCUACGUGUUACAAACAAAAGACAUGCAUUUGACCACAUCCCAGAAAAACGAGUAGAUCACACACGUCUCUGGUCACCGAGUAUGUAAACAGAAACAGAAAUUGCAUCAACCCUAAUCUGGUACCCAUUUUUCCCAAGUGUAAUCAAACUCUAAUACGUUAACUAGGUAUUAGCGUGGACCGGUUAAGCUGAUCUACAGUGUAUUAGCAGCCAAGCUGGGCAAUCUAGGAACGACUCCUGCUCUUGAUCCUGUCAAUCAAUCAAUAACCCCACCAGUCACUUCUGUCGACCCAUGGUUAAUUAUCCUUAAAAAAGGUGACAAGAGGCGGUAAUAUGCUGCUUCCAGGUGAGAAUUCACACUAGCUAGUUUACUCAGUCAUCCCAAACAUAAACAACCAGACACUUUGAUUAGUUCUGCCUAUACAGAGAUAUAUAUAUAGGAUCGUGUGACUAUGUCCAACACCCAGUAAAAAAAACUCACCACGGGUGGCCUUUUCUCCCGUGCCAGUUCCUGUUUUGUGUUGAGAUGUGGAGCAUCGAUCCGAUGUCGACUCUUGAGUAGAGGACAAGAUCCGUUCAAAGGCGCCAUUUUUCUUUCUCACUCUCUUGGAAGGUUCGAAAGGAUGAGAUGAAGCUUCUGCAAAUAGAAAGGUGAAAGGUAAAAGAUCAAAGAGUAGGAGAAAUGUUCUUCCCGGUUGUUGGUGCAUCAGUAAUAUUAUUUACUGGUGGGCGUACGCGUGCGCACUGACGUAUUGUAUGUCCAUGGGAAACAGCAGAGAUUCCAAAGCUUCCAAAGAUUUUAAUUGGUUAACGGCACCUUCCGAGAAGAAACGAAUGGGAUGCCAAAGGUCAUGGACUCAAAUGGUCAUGUGGAUGUUGUCUGCAUAGCCACGUAAGUCAAACGGGGCUUGUUGUUUUACUGACCACUUGCAACGUUCGACAUGUCACUGCAUUUUUCAUUGCGUCCGGAAGGCGGGUAUGAUUUAGACAGACGAUGUCUACAAUGUUCUUUCCCUGUCAAUUGUCGAUAGAUUGCUUAAGUAUAUAAUCUCUAAAUUUGUGAGUGUAAAGAACAGUUAAAUAAUUGCAGUAUAUAAUCUUCAGAUCUUCAGAUCCGGUGGUUGUCGUCGACAGUGAGAUGCAAUCUAUGAACGAUAACUCGACGCAGAGGGUAUGGUUGUAUAGCAGCGACGGUCGGUUUCUAAUCCAGAUCGUGCGGCUGCUAGGAUCGUGGAAAAGUGGUGGCGACGACACAUGUUUGAUUUCGAUGAUGGUGCUCCUCGACUACCAAGUCUCGAGCCGCGGGGUGAAAACCUAGGUGUGCCACAAGUUGGUUGUACCUGUCAAUGGCAAUAUUUUUGUAUUGUUACCUUAUUGAAGACAUUGAUCGAGUAUGGUCUGACUGGUUCUUCAUGGUUUUCACCUAGACUCUGGCUUUUUGUGAUUAGAUCCGGUGACGGGGUGUUAGAACAUCGUUCCCUUCUUGAAGGCGUUGCCGUUGAAGAACCUCGUUGUCCUUGUGAUGUCAUGAAAUGGUUGGCGCGGAUAUGGUUAUUUGUUGUAGAUUGUAGAUCGCGGAUUUCAUCACUUUGUUUUUUUUUCUUGCUUAGGCAUAGCUUUGGUCUUAUAUGACUUUGCUAUUUGCCAGCGGUCUUUUGUGUGUGCAGUUUAGUGUUGGAUGUGUGCAUCGUAGCUAUGCAGAGGCCGGGUGUGCGCUCAUUUCGAUUGUACUAACUUGAUACUUUAUUUGAAGUAAUAAAAUCCCCCCCGACUGAAUUUUAGGGAUUUUCAGUACAAACAAAGGUGUGUUUGACUGAAUUGUCUCAUUAAAAGCCUGGUUGUAGUGGAUCCCCCCACAUCCAUGAAUUAUGUUGUAGUGGAGACUUCAACUGCAUGCUACAAGGCUAUAUUCUGCCCAGCUUACAUGCACUUUUCCCUAACAUAGUACAAACUCAUGAGGUUAAACAAACACACAUAAUAAAAGCAUGUCCACAUAUCAUAUCCCUAUGAACACCUCUGAAAGAUCGAGUCAACAUUAUCUUGAGAUUCACAAAGACACCACAUGCGUUUUUGUAGUCAAUGGAAACGUAUCCUUUCACUGAACGAAUAUUGCGGAAAGCUUGAAAUAAAUUCAGGAGAAUGCGAGCACCGGUGCCAUGUUUAGGACAUGAACCCUGAUGGGAUGAUUUUACCAUAAAGAACAUAACCAUCUGAGAUUGGCUCAGUUCGUCAUACUACAUGCACUUAUUUGUGUUGGUAAAACGUUGUAAUGUGACCCACGAAGAAGAAGUUGUAACAGUGCUUGAAAAGAAACAUCAUAUGAAGGUAAGUUUUACGCAGAAAUCUGCAAGGGCACACACCUGUCAAACCCUGUUCGGUUGCCUGAUUGCCUCACAAUUCAUGAAGUAGUUGGAUCUCACAUGAGGGCAUAGUAAGUUCUAAGUUUUAGUCGUUGAAACUUAUGAUUUUUCAUGUGAAAAUUCCUAUUUUCUCGGUUGCAAGUAUCAUGUUUCAGAGUUGGAAUUUUAAGCAAUUUUCUUUGUCAGUCGCAGGUACUAAAUUCCUGAUUUUAUCAGUCGUUUGUACUAAGUUUCAAGAGUUAAAACUUAACUAUUUUUUUCCAAAGUUGGACGAAACAUAUUUAUUUGUAAAGCCCUCGUCACCAAAAACCUAUUCCGGAUUUUAUUGUAAAGCCCUCGUCACCAAAAACACUAAUAUGAAAACAGAAUUUAAUUUGGAUUUUUUAAUCAAAAGAUACGGAAGAUUGAAAAUCGAAAGCCAAAACAAAAAGCACGGAUGAGGGACUCAGCCCUCUGCACGUGCGUGUCCCAAAUCAUUUCCUCAAUUUUACGUGGCAUUUUAUGAAAACGUGUACAUGCAGUAAUGAAUGAAGCAGAAAAAAUAGACCUCUUGAUGGUACGUGUACUAGCACUCACCACGGAUAAUAAUAAUAAGUUACUAUACUAAAGCGAAAAGGCUUUGGUUUUUCUGAUUUUUUGGACUAUUUUGGGAAAGUUACUGUUUAACUACGUGGCCAGUGUGACCAGCGACGGUGAACAACAACUCAAGUACCCCACACACCAUAAACAGUGUUCGCAAUGAACAUUACCCCGAUCGUGAACAGUACCUAACAUUUGUAUCCCUAUAGCGUCGCUAAUAGCAUGUGUAAAGAAUUGUCUCGCUAAAUAUCUCCAUCGAUGCGUUCACCUAUGAGGGGAAAAUAACUGAUGUCAUGCAGAAAAAAUACCAAAAAAUGGAGACUCCUUCUCCCUCGAUGGUUCACCUACUCGAGAAGAAUAGCCGAUGUGUUGCCAUCGUCUACCUCGCGUUCUCCUUCUCUGUGGCCAACCAUAUCGAGGCUUCAACCACAAUGUUGUCACUGGAGCUACCUCCAUGACGCGCCCUAUCACGACAGCCUAAGCAACCAACGAGAAGAGACAACAUGAAAAUAAAAAUGUUCGCUCGACCAACCUCUUCACUCCACUCCCUAUUAUAUUUCUUUGACCGAUUCAAAGAUAAAUACAAGAACAUUGGCUUAUCCAUAGAGGGUAGUGUGUGCUAAAAAAACUAUUGUAAAGUCAGUUAUUCCUUACCCACCAAAAUUCUCUCGAAGUAUGGGGAUACUACUCAUCCUUUAUCAUAGUUUAAAAAGCACAUUGGGUAGAACGUCCUGUUAUCACAUUAAUCAUUAAUAGAUAUUCUGUUAAAAAAUCUCUUUGCCAAUUACUAUCAAUUUUUACGCACCGACAGAUUUAGGGAUCAAAUUUCUUGCAAAAAUUUAAAUUUAAAUUUAUUAAAUAAACACAUAUAUAUUCGAAACAUAAUGAAAGAGCACCGACUAGGAACUGGAUAUUAAUAGGUCAGCCGGUUUGUUUAAGUUGUUAAACCGUUAAUAUUUGUCACUCCGUACAUGGCUACACAAAUUAUGGAGCAGAGAUAGAGUUUGUGCUCUCCUUUUUAUUUUAUAUUCGCAUGUAAUACAUGAUGUUUUCCUGCUUAUUUAGAAAAAUGACGCGACCGGUUCAGCCAAUAACACGUACGUGACGAAGUAGAUACACAUUUACAGACGUAACAGGAAUUAGCUGGAAAUUACCCGCUUAGGUCCUGAUUGGAUUGACGUUUUACAAUGCCAUAUACCUGUAAAUUAUACAUACCUACAUUCAUCGUGUAUUUUUACAGACGAAAAUCAACUAAGACCAACAUAAUACCCCUGUGAAAUAUAUGCAGACCUUGUUUGGUAUUUGUGUUUUUGAAGAGAUUGGUGGGGAUAAUUCCCUAAGGCCUUGUUUGGUACUAGUGUAUUUGAGGGAAUUUGUGGGGAUUAUCCCGGUCAAACCCCUCAAUCCCCACACAUCCCAUAACACCAUUUGGUUCUAGUGUAUUUGACAUGUUUCAUCCCCACAUUUCCCGUCAAAUCCCCAAAUUAUAGUGCAUUUUUCUCAAUACUCAAUACACUACCCCUACCUAGUGUAUUGGGGAUUAUCCCUACCAAUCUCCUCAAAAACACUACUACCAAACAAGGCCUAAGGGAUUGGAUGAAACCCCAAUCUUCAUCCAAUCCCUCCAAAUCCGCAUUUAUUCCCAAUACACUAGGUAGGGGUAGUGUAUUGAGUAUUGAGAAAAAUGCACUAUUAUUUAAGGAUUUGAGGAAAAAUGUGAGGAUGAAACAUGUCAAAUGCACUAAAACCAAAUGGUAUUAUGGGAUGUGUGAAGAUUGAGGGAUUUGACCGGAAUAAUUCUCAUAAAUUUCUUAAAAUACACUAGUACCAAACAAGGUCGCAUGUGUAUAAAAAUACACGGAUGCCAAGCGGGGCCUUAGCCGCCGCAGAAAUCACGCUUAGCCUCCAUUCGUGGCUGCCGGCGUGGCAUGCAUGCAUGCAGACGAAGCGGCGGCUAACCUGGUCCGACGUUGGCCAUGGAUAACGACCGUUAGGUGAGCUUGUUUUUGUGUGUGCACGCACGUUCGGGAAUGCGUCCCUUUCAUCUUUCAACGUUGUUCCAACAUUCUUUCACUGCAAAAAAAGGGUUCCAACGUCCCCACAAGCCCGGGAUUUUUGUGAAGAUUUUUCUUUUGUGAUGGCAUAGAUUGAGAAGAAUAGGGAUCUUUCCCCCCUUCAUGAAUUCGUAUUUUAAAUGAUCCUGUGCUAGCUCAGCCAUUGCGUAUGGCGUUUCAGUCCAGUCCAGUCCAGACCAUGUGUUGCAAGAGCAUGCUGCGUUGCAGAAAUACAACAUGACUUCUUUGGAUCGCUGGAACUGUAACUUGGCCACGAAUGCAAUGGGCGACGUGUCAUGUUUUUUUGACCCAGGAAACGAUGGCCUUGACGUUGUCGUGUGUUCUGUUACGUAAACGUGUCACAUUUUCGUUCCGAAGGAAGGAAAAAAAACAGAGCCUUGUGAGAGAAAUGUAUGUACUCUACGCAAGUGAUUCCACGGCUUUACUUGUGCGGGAGCGAUGGUAGGUGCCAGCGGAUUCUCUAACGAGUAGAUGUUCCCUCCUAUGAGAAAUUUACUGCAUGGAUCAGUCGGCGUGGACACAUAUUGCGUCGACCCAUUGUUUCUAAUUUCCUCUAAGCUUUGUUUCAGUGCUAAAUAUCUCCAAAUCCGGACUCUCUGUUGGCUCCAGAUCUUAUCUUAAAAGUGUUUCCCUUUUCAAGUAUUGUGUUUCACUGCUUCAUGCGCUGCGGUAUGAAUGUGAUCCCUGGUGACAUGAUUGUCAUGGAUGAUGGAGAAGGAGAAUAUUACGGGUAGCAUCAAAUUCAAAACAAAAUUGCCUUUCUGAUGAUAUUUUGCUAGCUUGUCAUUUUUUUUCUAGUUUGGAAAGGGAGUCCUCCUUCAGCCUAAUGUGUGCCAUCUUUUGCAACAAAAUUGUGAUCGUGCGCACCCAUGCGGAUGCAUGGAUGAUUGUUUUUCCUUUUAGAAAAAAAGACGGGCAUUCACCUCACAAAGAGAUGGCAAUAAAAACAUACUAUGAUGCAUGGUUAUCCCUUGGUAUUAUAUCUAGUAAGUAAUCAAUCCACUCGUCUAUUUUUUUUAUGAUCAAAAUCAUCUUACAUUAUGAAACGGAGGGAGUAUAAGAUAUAUGACUAACGAAUCAUUUGAACAAUGGAGAAAAACAUAUUAUUUUAACGGUUUAAAGUUCAUCUCUUGACUAAAAAAAAGACAACCUCCUCUCGCUUAUCCUCCAUCUUUAAACUCAAUAAAAUCCAAUGUCACAUUCUAUAAAAGAAAGCUGGCAUCACAUCAUUGUAUGUGCCUUAUUCAUUGAUUCACAUUAGAAAAAAUGAUUUUGAUAAUUCUCAUAAGCAAGAAAAUUCCUUAACCACAACAAAAAUGAAUAAAUGUCUAUGUUGCACUCCCUCUAAGUCAAAAUAUAGCACAUAUUAAUUUUAUCUUAAGACAAACUUCACAAAAUUUUAUCAAGUUUAUACAAAUAAUCACCAACACGUACAAUACCAAAUCUACACCAUUAUAUCCAUCACUAGAUAAAAUUUAAUCUGAUACAUACUCGGCAUUGCAAAUACUGAUAUAUCUUCUUUAAACUUAGUCAAAUUUUAUAAAACGCGACUUGGAAAAAUCGAAUAUGCAGUUAUGCACUAUAUUUUGCUAUAAAUGAAGGUACCAAUAGGCACAGUUUUUUUAGAGGUAAUUACCCCAUUGGUGCUUAAACUUGCCUCGGAUUUGCACUUUAGUGCCUGAACUUGCAAAAUACAUCGAACUGAUCUCAUAACUUGGCAUGAACACGCAAAUACGGUUCAAAUCGCAUUUGUAUACAUCCAUGACACUGAUGAGGCACGUCAGCCUAGUAAGGGGACCACUGUCAUUGAUCAGACGACGGGAAGAAAGACGCGGGGCCUAGUUUUUUGCGGAACCCUCCUCGAAUAAUUUUCCUCUUACAAAAACCUUUCGGAUAAAAACAACACAACUUGUAUAAAAUUAAAAACUGGUCAACCACGGGUUCGAACCCAGGGUGUGUCGCUCGGUUGUGGGUGUGCCUAGCCAUUGGACAAAAUCACAUGUACAUGAUUGAACAUAUUUGCAUACGGAGUACUUUAGAUACUAAGUCUGAUCAACAUAAACGAAGAAAUUUAUUUCAGAAAAAUAGUACUAGAUCAAUGAUUCGAACCUGCACUCUAAGGACAAAUAGCGACCACAAAUACCAAUCCAACGCGCAAAAUGUUAUAUUACAAAGUAUAAUUUCUCUUCAUAACAUAAUGUGCUGGUGUGGGUAAAACGACCGUGGUGCGGACCAUUUUUAAUGUGUUAAUUUUUUCCAUUUCAAAAAUUUGUAAAAAGUUACAUACAUUAUAAUCUUCUGUUGUAAAUAAUACAGACACAAUUAAAGUAAAAUAAAUUUAUAAUUUUCAUAUGAUUUCAUAAAAUUAAUACAUAAUAAUUUAACAAAAAUAAGCAUUAUUAAAUUACUAUAAUUAUGAUAGUAUUUUUAUAAAUUUAAAAGUGCUAGAAUUUUAAAUCAAAUAUUAUAUUAAUUUCAUAAAGUUACGUGUAUUUUAAUAAAUUCUUAUAUAUGUUUAAUUUUUUUCAUGUUUGUAAUUCAUGUAGUAUUUAAAGUUUUCAUGCUUUAAGAAAAUGUUUGUAUUGUUUUAAACUUUAUAUAGAAUAUAAAGGUUUGUGUGUUUUAAAAAAAGGAUCCCAAUGCGCCCUUUAAUUACAGAUCUUCACAUGAAUAAUAUUUGAAUUAUACAAACAUUUUUAUAAUUCAUAAGUAUUUCAAGUUAUGUGAAUAUGUUUUAAAAUACAGUAACAUGUAAAAUUUUAAAUCAUAAAUACUCUUAUACUUUAGAAACAUGAGACCUUUUGGUUGGAGUACUAUCUGAGGUUGCUAUAUAACCAUUGGUCGGAUGUAUGAGUCAGAAAUCCGACACUAUAUUUUGCUGGAUUAAAUUCCUUUAAUUUAUGUUGUUUCACAUAGUGUGUAUAAAACAUAUGAAUCCUUGUAAGACAUGGCGUGUAAAUGUUUGAUUGGCUAGUCAUGUCUGCAUGUUAACUGCAAGUCACAAGUUCGAACUCCUAGCAGACCAGUUUUAUUUACUUUCUCUAGGAGGGCCUACUUAUAAAAAAAAAUCAGGUGGUUUUCUAAAAAAACUAGGCCACAUGCCCUAUUUCCAUACGUAUACUCAUUGAUAGCGGGCCACAUGGCACACUGGAACGUCUCGUGAGCAUUGUGGAUGUAUAUAGAUGAGAUUUGAACCGUAUUUGCACACCUAUGCCAAGUUAUGUAACCAGCUCGAUGUAUUUUUCAAGUUCAGGCACUAAAGUAAACAUUCAUGGCAACUUCAAGCACCACCGGUGCAUUUACCUCUUUUUUUUUAAAGCAACGGGAGCGUACUAGAAUAUAUACUUGGUCAGAACCGACAUCAAUCGAUCACCUUCUUGAAGAUAACACAUGCAUACGUGUCAUGGCAGUAUUGCUCACAUUUGCUCCGCCGUCAACAAAGGCAACAUAUAUACAUAUCCUGCUGCUCUCCCUCAUCGGUUCUUUUUAGUGUGUGGCAAAACGACUUUACUUUUGAUCUUACCAAAAACAACAUACUUUACGUUGCUUCCCUACUCCACCGGACUGUCCCCCGAAGGUUUCUUCUUUUUUCCUUGCCCAGUCCCAUCUCCGUACAUACGGUUUUUUCAGUUGACAUGCACAAACUGGGCACAACAUCAUGCCAAGUCAGAGAGAGUACAGUGGAUUCGUGCCUUAGCCCGGUGGUGCUUAGCACUUAAGCGCGGCAUCGCAUGCGUCAUCACAGAGAAAUUAGGGAAGAAGUCGUCCAACCAAAGAUCUCGGUACCCUUGAGCCUUGAAACCCUUGACACCAACAAAACCGAAUACGUUCGCAUAUACUCCUUUCUCUCUUGUCAGAGGACCCAGUCCGAGGUUAUGUGUGAGCUCAUGCCUUUUGAUUAUUUUCCCGUCGACCUGUUACACUCGCAGGGACUCUUCUCGAUUGGGCGCCAAGUUGCAUGCACUUUGCAUGUUAUACUAAGCUAAGUAAGCUUUCUCAUUCGCACACACAGAUUAACCCUCCUUUUAACAAAAAAUAGUGAAUUACAGAAAACAUCGAAUUGAAGGUUAGAGUUGCAAAAACGAAAAUUCUAUAGUUUUGUCAAAAAUGACAAAUUUCGAGGCUAAAUUUUUGCAGUAAACACUAGUUGGUGACUUAGACCGAUUUAAGCUUAAUUAUGACAGGUGGGUCGACCCGCAAAGGGUGACAUGGCAUAACAGCUCAUGUUAGGCUUCGUUAGAUGAGGAAUAAUCUAUAUUUAUAAAAUAGUUCCUGUAAUUUUACAGUGCCACCCUUCACUAAAAAUAAAAAAAGCAUUCAGAUCAUUGGGAUUUGGGAGAGCAGCACCACGUAGGCCAUGGGUCACAUUGCCCGCGAGGUGACACAUCGUAGGACUCUUCCCCCUCCUCUCUAGUGUGUGGCGCUGCCUGCCACCAUGGUUGAAGCCUCCAUAGAUGGGCCACUUCAGGAGCGGGUGGAGGUCAUGCGGUAGGGCGGGCUUGAGGGCCUCCGGUGCUGCGGUUGAAGGGGAGGUCUUGCCGGCCAAGAUGUAGGUCGCCGACCCUGUGUAGUCGUGCUCAGGUGGAUAGGGGCGGCGCCUGGGUCGUGCAUCGGCGGACAUGGACAUCGCUGGAGAUGGAUGGGCGUGGAGCGACACCACGGAGCGACCCACUGUUGAUGGCGCUGGGCGGUUGACCUCCUCCUCU
rnacentral:lncRNA from 1 species